rnacentral:lncRNA from 1 species
UCCCCAUUUCUUCUCUAGCCUGAGCCUGGCACACUAUUCUAGCUAGACAUGGGUGUGGCUCAUAACACUUGUUGACUAAAUGGAUCGACGGCACCAUCGAAUCUCAAACUUUAACUGCCAAAACUAUUGUUUUUCAUCCUGUAGUCCCAUUUAGAAUUAUUAAACGUCCUUUUUUGGGCCGAUAUUUAGAGUAAUGCUUUCUCGGGGUUUGUCUGCAAGUAUUUCAAACCAUACGGACCUAAAAAUUAGAAGUCAUUCCAUCUUUAUUCCCCUAGAGCCUUCCAGCAGUUCCUAAACCGCUCUAGUCGGAGCACGUUAUCAUUCUUGUUAGUUCUGAGUGAAUUCCCUCAGUAUGAUAAUUCUUUCAUCUGUUUGUUCCCCGUUUCUUCUCUAGCCUGAGCCUGACACACUAUUCAAGCUAGACAUGGAUGUGGCUCGUAACACCUGAUGACCAAACGGAUCUACGGCACCAUCGAAUCCCAAACUUUAACUGCCAAAACUAUUGUUUUUCAUCCUGUAGUCCCUUUUAGAAUUACUAAACGUCCUUUUUUGGGCCGAGAUUUCCAGGAAUGCUUUCUCGGGGUUUGUGUGCAAGUAUUUCAAACCAUACAAAGCUAGAAAUUAGAAGUCAUUCCAUCUUUAUUAUCGUAGAGCCUUCCAGCAGUUCCUAAACCGGUCUAGUCGGAGCACGUUAUCAUUCUAGUUAGUUCUGAGUGAAUUCCCUCGGUAUGAUAAUUCUUUCAUCAGUUUGUUCCCCGUUUCUUCUCUAGCCUGAGCCUGACAAACUAUUCUAGCUAGACAUGCGUGUGGCUCGUAACACCUGAUGACCAAACGGAUCUAUAGCACCAUCGAAUCUCAAACUUUAACUGCCAAAACUAUUGUUUUCAUCCUGUAGUCCCUUUUAGAAUUACUAAACUUCCUUUUUUGGGCCGAGAUUUAGAGGAACGCUUUCUGGGGUUUGUGUGCAAGUAUUUCAAACCAUACAGACCUAAAAAUUAGAAGUCAUUCCAUCUUUAUUCCCCUAGAGCCUUCCAGCAGUUCCUAAACCGCUCUAGUCGGAGCACGUUAUCAUUAUUGUUAGUUCUGAGUGAAUUCCCUCGGUAUGAUAAUUCUUUCAUCAGUUUGUUCCCUGUUUCUUCUCUAUCCUGAGCCUGACACACUAUUCUAGCUAGACAUGGGUGUGGCUCGUAACACCUGAUGACUAAAUGGAUCGACGGCACCAUCGAAUCUCAAACUUUAACUGCCAAAACUAUUGUUUUUCAUCCUGUAGUCCCAUUUAGAAUUAGUAAACGUCCUUUUUUGGGCCGAGAUUUAGAGGAACGCUUUCUCGGGGUUUGUGUGCAAGUAUUUCAAACCAUACGGACCUAAAAAUUAGAAGUCAUUCCAUCUUUAUUCCCCUAGUCAUCAGGUAUACACUCAAGUCGGAGCACGUUAUCAUUCUUGUUAGUUCUGAGUGAAUUCCCUCGGUAUGAUAAUUCUUUCAUAAAUUUGUUCCCCGUUUCUUAUAUGGCCUGAGCCUGACACACUAUUCUAGCUAGACAUGGGUGUGGCUCGUAACACCUGAUGACCAAACGGAUCUACGGCACCAUCAAAUCUCAAACUUUAACUGCCAAAACUAUUCUUUUUCAUUCUGUAGUCCCUUCUAGAAUUACUAAACGUCCUUUUUUGGGCCGAGAUUUCCAGGAACGCUUUCUCGGGGUUUGUGUGCAUGUAUUUCAAACCAUACAGACCUAAAAAUUAUAAGUCAUUCCAUCUUUAUUCCCGUAGAGCCUUCCAGUAGUUCCUAAACCGCUCCAGUCGGAGCAUGUUAUCAUUCUUGUUAGUUCUAAGUGAAUUCCCUCGGUAUGAUAAUUCUUUCAUCAGUUUGUUCCCCGUUUCUUCUCUAGCCUGAGCCUGGCACACUAGUCUAGCUAGACAUGGGUGUGGCUCGUAACACCCGAUGACUAAAUGGAUCGACGGCACCAUCGAAUCUCAAACUUUAACUGCCAAAACUAUUGUUUUUCAUCCUGUAGUCCCAUUUAGAAUUACUAAACGUCCUUUUUUGGGCCGAGAUUUAGAGGAACGCUUUCUCGUGGUUUGUGUGCAAGAAUUUCAAACCAUACGGACCUAAAAAUUAGAAGUCAUUCCAUCUUUAUUCCCCUAGAGCCUUCCAGUAGUUCCUAAACCGCUCUAGUCGGAGCACGUUAUCAUUCUUGUUAGUUCUGAGAGAAUUCCCUCGGUAUGAUAAUUCUUUUAUCAGUUUGUUCCCCGUUUCUUCUCUAGCCUGAGCCCGACACACUAUUCUAGCUAGACAUGGGUGUGGCUCGUAACACCUGAUGACCAAACGGAUCUACGGCACCAUCGAAUCUCAAACUUUAACUGCCAAAACUAUUGUUUUUCAUCCUGUAGUCCCUUUUAGAAUUACUAAAUGUCCUUUUUUGGGCCGAGAUUUCCAGGAACGCUUUCUCAGGGUUUGUGUGCAAGUAAUUCAAACCAUACGGACCUAAAAAUUAGAAGUCAUUCCAUCUUUAUUCCCCUAGAGCCUUCCAGCAGUUCCUAAACCGCUCAAGUCAGUGCACGUUAUCAUUCUUGUUAGUUCUAAGUGAAUUCCCUCGGUAUGAUAAUUUGUUCAUCAGUUUGUUCCCCGUUUCUUCUCUAGCCUGAGCCUGACACACUAUUCUAGCUAGACAUGGGUGUGGCUCGUAACACCUGAUGACCAAACGGAUCUACGACACCAUCGAAUCUCAAACUUUAACUACCAAAACUAUUGUUUUUCAUCCUCUAGUCCCUUUUAGAAUUACUAAACGUCCUUUUUUGGGCCGAGAUUUCCAGGAACGCUUUCUCGGGGUUUGUGUGCAUGUAUUUCAAACCAUACAGACCUAAAAAUUAGAAGUCAUUCCAUCUUUAUUCCCGUAGAGCCUUCCAGCAGUUCCUAAACCGCUCCAGUCGGAGCAUGUUAUCAUUCUUGUUUGUUCUGAGUGAAUUCCCUCGGUAUGAUAAUUCUAUCAUCAGUUUGUUCCCCGUUUCUUCUCUAGCCUGAGCCUGGCAAACUAUUCUAGCUAGACAUGGGUGUGGCUCGUAACACCUGAUGACCAAACGGAUCUACGACACCAUCGAAUCUCAAACUUUAACUACCAAAACUAUUGUUUUUCAUUCUAUAGUCCCUUCUAGAAUUUCUAAACGUCCUUUUUUGGGCCGAGAUUUCCAGGAAUGCUUUCUCGGGGUUUGUGUGCAAGUAUUUCAAAUCAUACGGACCUAAAAAUUAGAAGUCAUUCCAUCUUUAUUCCCCUAGAGCCUUCCAGUAGUUCCUAAACCGCUCCAGUCGGAGCACGUUAUCAUUCUUGUUAGUUCAUAGUGAAUUCCCUCGGUAUGAUAAUUCUUUCAUCAGUUUGUUCCCCGUUUCUUCUCUAGCCUGAGCCUGGCACAGUAUUCUAGCUAGACAUGGGUGUGGUCGUAACACCUGAUGACUAAAUGGAUCGACGGCACCAUCGAAUCUCAAACUUUAACUGCCAAAACUAUUGUUUUUCAUCCUGUAAUCCCAUUUAGAAUUACUAAACGUCCUUUUUUGGGCCGAGAUUUAGAGGAACGCUUUGUUGGGGUUUGUGUGCAAGUAUUUCAAACCAUACGGACCUAAAAAUUAGAACUCAUUCCAUAUUUAUUCCCCUUGAGCCUUCCAGCAGUUCCUAAACCGCUCUAGUCGGAGCACGUUAUCAUUCUUGUUAGUUCUAAGAGAAUUCCCUCGGUAUGAUAAUUCUUUUAUCAGUUUGUUCCCCGUUUCUUCUCUAGACUGGGCCCGACACACUAUUCUAGCUAGACAUGGGUGUGGCUCGUAACACCUGAUGACCAAACGGAUCUACGGCACCAUCGAAUCUCAAACUUCAACUGCCAAAACUAUUGUUUUUCAUCCUGUAGUCCCUUUUAGAAUUACUAAACGUCCUUUUUUGGGCCGAGAUUUCCAGGAACGCUUUCUCGGGGUUUGUGUGCAAGUAUUUCAAACCAUACGGACCUAAAAAUUAGAAGUCAUUCCAUCUUUAUUCCCGUAGAGCCAUCCAGCAGUUCCUAAACCGCUCCAGUCGGAGCACGUUAUCAUUCUUGUUAGUUCUGAGUGAAUUCCCUCGGUAUGAUAAUUCUUUCAUCAGUUUGUUCCCCGUUUCUUCUCUAGCCUGAGCCUGACAAACUAUUAUAGCUAGACAUGGGUGUGGCUCGUAACACCUGAUGACCAAACGGAUCUAUGGCACCAUCGAAUCUCAAACUUUAACUGCCAAAACUAUUGUUUUUCAUCCUGUAGUCCCUUUUAGAAUUACUAAACGCCCUUCUUUGGGACGAGAUUUCCAGGAACGCUUUCUCGGGGUUUGUGUGAAAGUAAUUCAAACCAUACGGACCUAAAAAUUAGAAGUCAUUCCAUCUUUAUUCCCGUGGAGCCUUCCAGUAGUUCCUAAACCGCUCCAGUCGGAGCACGUUAUCAUUCUUGUUAGUUCUGAGUGAAUUCCCUCGGUAUGAUAAUUCUUUCAUCAGUUUGUUCCCUGUUUCUUCUCUAGCCUGAGCCUGGCACACUAUUCUAGCUAGACAUGGGUGUGGCUCGUAACACCUGAUGACUAAACUGAUCAAUGACACCAUCGAAUCUCAAACUUUAACUGCCAAAACUAUUGUUUUUCAUCCUGUAGUCCCAUUUAGAAUUACUAAACGUCCUUUUUUGGGCCGAGAUUUCCAGGAACGCUUACUCGGGGUUUGUGUGCAAGUAUUUCAAACCAUACUGACCUAAAAAUUAGAAGUCAAUCCAUCUUUAUUCCCCUAGAGCCUUCCAGCAGUUCCUAAACCGCUCCAGUCGGAGCACGUUAUCAUUCUUGUUAGUUCUGAGUGAAUUCCCUCGGUAUGAUAAUUCUUUCAUCAGUUUGUUCCUUGUUUCUUCUCUAGCCUGAACCUGACACACUAUUCUAGCUAGACAUGGGUGUGGCUCGUAACACCUGAUGACCAAACGGAUCUACGGCACCAUCGAAUCUCAAACUUUAACUGCCAAAACUAUUAUUUUUAAUCCUCUAGUCCCAUUUAGAAUUACUAAACGUCCUUUUUUGGGCCGAGAUUUAGAGGAACGCUUUCAUGCGGUUUGUGUGCAAGUAUUUCAAACCAUACGGACCUAAAAAUUAGAAGUCAUUCCAUCUUUAUUCCCCUAGAGCCUUCCAGCAGUUCCUAAACCGCUCCAGUCGGAGCAUGUUAUCAUUCUUGUUAGUUCUGAGUGAAUUCCCUCGGUAUGAUAAUUCUUUCAUCAGUUUGUGGCCCGUUUCUUCUCUAGCCUGAGCCUGACACACUAUUCUAGCUAGACGUGGGUGUGGCUCGUAACACCUGAUGACCAAACGGAUCUACGGCACCAUCGAAUCUCAAACUUUAAGUGCCAAAACUAUUAUUUUUAAUCCUGUAGUCCCAUUUAGAAUUACAAAAAUGUCCUUUUUUGGGCUGAGAUUUCCAGGAACGCUUUCGUGCGGUUUGUGUGCAAGUAUUUCAAACCAUACAGACCAAAAAAUUAGAAGUCAUUCCAUCUUUAUUCCCUUAGAGCCUUCCAGCAGUUCCUAAACCGCUCAAGUCGGAGCAUGUUAUCAUUCUUGUUAGUUCUGAGUGAAUUCCCUCGGUAUGAUAAUUCUUUCAUCAGUUUGUUCCCCGUUUCUUCUCUAGCCCGAGCCUGACAAACUAUUAUAGCUAGACAUGGGUGUGGCUCGUAACACCUGAUGACCAAACGGAUCGACGACACCAUCGAAUCUCAAACAUUAACUGCCAAAACUACACCUCAUUGACACGUCUGUUGAAAAACAGAGAUCGCGCCCACUUAAUACGGGAUUUAGUAUCAAUGAUAUCUGGGUAAUCCAACCGACAGCAGCGCAUACCCACAUCAGGAACAGACGAUGUUUUAAGGCUAGGGAGGCAGGCGCUUGGUAUUCACUUCUUAUAUAAACGAAGUAAGAUUUAUCUUUUCCAUCCCACGCCUUCUUCCUUUUUCCGCCUCCCCAUCUCCUAGCUCUAGUGCCCGAGCCUCGAAACUUCCCACCACCACCAGCCUCCCCAGUCACGUUCGGAUCUGGCCUUCAAGGAAAGUGGGCCGCCUCCUCCGGGAGGGAGAAGGAUGUCAAGGAGCUCCAGGAUGCGGGGUACCUGAGUGCGGAAAUCACGUACAGGAUCCUAGCUAAGAAGCAAGUCAUCCCCACCCUAGAGCCCGGUGAGAGGGUGGUAUUUAUCCCCUACUUCCUCCGUGGACUAGGGUUUCCACUUCACCCUUUUGUCCGCGGCAUCAUGUUCUAUUACAGGCUAGAUUUCCAUGAUCUAGCCCCAAACUCAUUCCUCCACAUCUGGGCGUUUAUCGUUGAGUGCGUGGCGCUUCUCCGCAUCCCCCCCCCGGCACUUCGGUCUCUGGCUCAAAUUCUUCAACAUGAAGCCAAAGGUGGUGGAUGGGGAGCAUGCAGACUGCGGAGGCGCAAUGGUGAGCAAGCUUCCCAACAUCACCUGGCCCAAAGGGGCUUUUUGUGGAGACUGUAAAAAUAUGGCAGCAGGAGUGGUUCUACAUCACCGAACCUCGCGGCGCCAACUGGGCGGCCACUCCUGAAUUCAGAUCCGGACCCCCAAUGUGGCUAGCGUCGUGGAUCAACAAGGGCUUGGACUGGGGGUUAGCGAACGAGGAGACGAUGCUGCAAAAGCGCAUCAAAAACAUCAUAAAGAGGGACACCGACCUCCCCGACGUGGUUCAUGUGAUGCUAUUCCGCCGGAUCCUUCCCUGCUAGCACCGGCAUCUCCACAUGUGGGAGUUUAAUCCGGAAGGGCCACGAACCCUGCUUCAAUUCUCCGGCACAAUGCACGAAGAAAUCUGGAGGCUGCUUUUCAAGGCCCAGAAGAAGAAAUCGUGACCGGAGAUUGUCGACGACAUCGGCCUCGACUGCGCUCACCCAGCCACUCCGAUAAGUUUUUAUUUUCCGAACAUAACUUAAUCUGAACAUCGCAGGGGUGUAUUGGGAUUCUCACAUUUGUAACAGGGUUGGACGAAGAAGGCGGAGCGGAUUAAAGGUCUCGCUCCAUUGCCCGAAAGUCCCCCUGAUCCUCUACUGAUGAGGAUGUUGGUUCCGGCACCGUACCAGGCACCGGAAAAGAACACCAAGAAGAAGUUCAAGGAGGCCAAAGAUGACUCCCGCCGAAAAGGUCCCUCCGACACUAUGUCCGGGGAGUCCGAAGCCCUCUCCUCCCGCGAGGGUGAUGAAGAAGAGAAGGAGGAGGAGCAGGAAGAGAACAACUCUCCCCUUAAGGGGAGGAGGAAGAAAAGAGUGGCUUCCGCAGACCCAGAGACGGAGGCGUCCAAAAGGGGGAGAGCAUCUCUCUCGGAUGACUCGGAUUCGGCUGCCGAAGUCAUCCCCGAGCAUCGCCCUAGGUCCCCCAGCCGAAUCAUGACUGUCUCAAGAUGCCUUACAUACAUCGGCUUUUACAAUUAUCGUUUUUAACAUAUUGCAUUGUGUGUUUCAGCCCGGCCCGCGAUCUCCCUCAAACAUCGUCUCCGGGAAAUUCGUUGGAGCCAGGGGCGCUGGAGCGCAAGACGCCUCCGCGGGCUUUCCCGCUUAGCGCUCCGGACGACACCGAAGUUGUGCCCCGAAGAGCCUUUCUAGGCCACAGAGAGGUGCCGAAGUCCAUGGAAACCGAGGACGGGGUCCAUGACUGAUGACCCAUAAGUGUAGGGGAUCUAUCGUAGUCCUUUUGAUAAGUAAGAGUGUCGAACCCAACGAGGAGCAUAAGGAAUUGACAAGCGGUUUUCAGUAUGGUAUUCUCUACAAGCACUAAAAUUAUCGAUAACAGAUAGUUUUGUGAUAAGGUAAUUUUUAAUGAGUAACAAGCAAUGAAAGUAAAUAAGGUGCAGCAAGGUGGCCCAAUCCUUUUUGUAGCAAAGGACAAGCCUAGACAAGUUCUUAUAUAGAGAAAAGCGCUCCCGAGGACACAUGGGAAUUAUCGUCAAGCUAGUUUUCAUCACACUCAUAUGAUUCGCGUUCCUUACUUUGAUAAUUUGAUAUGUGGGUGGACCGGUGUUUGGGUACUGCCCUUUCUUGGACAAGCAUCCCACUUAUGAUUAACCCCUAUUCCAAACAUCCAAAACUACAAAAGAAGUAUUAAGUUAACCUAACCAUAGUGCUACGUCUUGAGCUUGCGUUGGUUUUCCUUGAAGAGGAAGGGGUGAUGCAGCAAUAGUAGCGUAAGUAUUUCCCUCAGUUUUUGAGACCCAAGGUAUCAAUCCAGUAGGAGGCUCCUCAAAAGUCCCACGCACCUACACAAACAAACAAAGAACUCAGCAACCAACGCAAUAAAGGGGUUGUCAAUCCCUUCAUGGCCACUUGCGAAAGUGAGAUCUAAUAAAGAUAAAUAAGAUAAGAUAAAUAUAUUUUUGGUAUUUUAUAAUAUAGAUGCAAAAAGUAAAGAUGCAAAUAAAAAUAGAUUGGAAGCAAAUAUGAUAAGAGAUAGACCCGGGGGCCAUAGGUUUCACUAGUGGCUUCUCUCAAGAUAGCAUAAGUAUUACGGUGGGUGAAUAAAUUACAGUCGAGCAAUUGAUAGAAAAGCGAAUAAUUAUGAGAUUAUCUAGGCAUGAUCAUGUAUAUUGGCAUCACGUUCGCAACAAGUAGACUGACUCCUGCCUGCAUCUACUACUAUUACUCCACACAUCGACCGACUCCUACCUGCAUCUACUACUAUUACUCCACACAUCGACCGACUCCUGCCUGCAUCUAGAGUAUUAAGUUCAUAAGAACAGAGUAACGCAUUAAGCAAGAUGACAUGAUGUAGAGGGAUAAACUCAAGCAAUAUGAUAUAAACCCCAUCUUGUUAUCUUCGAUGGCAACAAUACAAUACGUGCCUUGCAACCCUUUCUGUCACUCGGUAAGGACACCGCAAGAUUGAACUCAAAGCUAAGCACUUCUCCCAUGGCAAGAAAGAUCAAUCUAGUAGGCCAAACCAAACUGAUAAUUCGAAGAGACUUGCAAAGAUAACUCAAUCAUACAUAAAAGAAUUCAGAGAAGAUUCAAAUAUUAUCCAUAGAUAAACUUGAUCAUAAACCCACAAUUCAUCGGAUCUCGACAAACACACCGCAAAAAGAAUUUACAUCGAAUAGAUCUCCACAAGAGAGGGGGAGAAUAUUGUAUUGAGAUCCAAAAAGAGAGAAGAAGCCAUCUAGCUAAUAACUAUGGACCCGUAGGUCUAUGGUAAACUACUCACAACUCAUAGGAGGGGCUAUGGUGUUGAUGUAGAAGCCCUCCGUGGUCGAUUCCCCCUCCGGCAGAGUGCCGACGAAGGCUCCAAGAUGGGAUCUCGCGGAAACAGAAGGUUACGGUGGUGUAAAUUGUGUUUCGUUCGCUCCCUGGAUGUUUUCGGGGUACAUAGGUAUAUAUAGGAGGAUGAAGUACGUCAGUGGACGCCCGAGGGGCCCACGAGACAGGGGGCGCGCCCUAUAGGGGGGGCGCCCUCCUAUCUCGUGGAGGCCUCGGCUGCUUCUUGACUUGCACUCCAAGUCCUGUGCAUCACAUUCGUUCCAAUAAUCACGCUCCCGAAGGUUUCAUUCCGUUUGGAAUCCGUUUGAUAUUCCUUUUCUUUUAAAUACUGAAAUAGGCAAAAAAACAGCAAUACGGGAUGGGCCUCUGAUUAGUAGGUUAGUCCCAAAAAUGAUAUAGAUGUGUAAAAUAAAGCCCAUAAACAUCCAGAAGGGGUAAUAUAAUAGCAUGGAACAAUCAAAAAUUAUAGAUACAUUGGAGACAUAUCACAUAGCAUGAAACAUGUGGAUCCAAAUCAGCCCCUUACGAAGCAACACAUAAACUAGGGUUUAAGCUUCUGUCACUCUAGCAACCCAUCAUCUACUUAUUAACUCCCAAUGCGUUCCUCAAGGUCCAAACAAUGGUGAAGUGUCAUGUAGUCGACGUUCACAUAACACCACUAGAGGAGAGACAACAUACAUCUCAUCAAAAUAUUGAACGAAUACCAAAUUUACAUGACUACUAAUAGCAAGACUUCCCCCAUGUCCUCUGGAACAAACGUAACUACUCACAAAGCAUAUUCAUAUUCAUAAUCAGAGGUGUACUAAUAUGCAUUAAGGAUCUGAACAUAUGAUCUUGCACCAAAUAAACCAACUAGCAUCAACUACAAGGAGUAAUCAACACUACUAGCAACCCACAGGUACCAAUCUAAGGUUUUGGUAUAAAGAUUGGAUACAAGAGAUGAACUAGGGUUUGAGAGGAGAUGGUGCUGGUGAAGAUAUUGAUGGAGAUUGACCCCCUCCCCGAUGAGAGGAUCGUUGGUGAUGACGAUGGUGAUGAUUUCCCCCUCCCGGAGGUAAAUUUCCCCGGCAGAACAGCUCCGCCGAAGCCCUAGAUUGGUUUCGCCAAGGUUCCGCCUCAUGGUAGCGGAGUUUCAUCCCGUAAGCUUGCUUAUGUUUUUUCCAUGGUAAAAAGCCUUCAAAUAGUAGAAGAUGGCCACCGAAGGGCUGCCAGGGGGCCCACAAGGUAGGGGGCGCCUAGGGGGGUAGGGCGCGCCCCCACCCUCGUGGAUGGUGGGUGGCCCCCCUCAGGUAUUUCUUCCUCUCAAUAUUUUUUAUUAAUUACCAAAAUGACUUUCAUGGAGUUUCAGGACUUUUGGAGCUGUGCAGAAUAAGUCUCUAUUAUUUGCUCCUUUUCGAGCCCAGAAUCCCAGCUGCCGGCAUUCUCCCUCUUUAUGUAAAACUUGUAAAAUAAGAGAGAAUAGGCAUAAGUAUUGUGACAUAACGUGUAAUAACAGCCCAUAAUGCACUAAAUAUCGAUAUAAAAGCAUGAUGCAAAAUGGACGUAUCAGUGACCAAUCUGUCCCCUAGCCGCACACUAUUUCGGAAACCCAUACAGGUCCGGAAUCCAACAAGCAACCCCCUUUGAAGGAGGGAAGAGCGUCAACUCCACCGGUGACCUCCAUGAAUCUGGAAGCGCCAGAUAAUUUGACGGAAGUGCUUCAUCAUGCUUCCAUCAUGGAGGAGAACCGCACCCUUAUGGGUGUGGUGGCUGAGAAGAUUCAGUCCGCCAAAAGCAGGUAGAACGAAGCCUUUACUAGCCUGUUAACAGGCAUUGAGGUAUGUGAUGUAAUUUUCUAACUGAUUCCAAUAAAGAGAUACACCUGUGUGUAGAAAGUAGCCCCUGAGACUCUGCCCGGUUUCAAAGGAGCCAGACAGAGGAUCACAUAAUAUUCGGCAAAGGUAACAUUCUAUUAUACAACAGGCUUCCCUGCUGCCGGCGAGCGCCCAGUCGGCCGACGUUUCCGAACUCACUCAGAAGCUGUGGCUGGUUGAUGAAGAAGUUGUCCGCAUUAAUAGCGGUUGGAGGAGACACAAGGUAUGCGUACAUUGAGUAUAAGCCCCUGAUGUCUACUACACAACCUUCUUCUUGUAGACGUUGUUGGUCCUCCAAGUGCAGAUGUUUGUAGGACAGUAGAAAAUUUCCCUCAAGUGGAUGACCUAAGGUUUAUCAAUCCAUGGGAGGCGUAGGAUGAAGAUGGUCUCUCUCAAACAACCCUGUAACCAAAUAACAAAGAGUCUCUUGUGUCCCCAACACACCCAAUACAAUGGUAAAUUGUAUAGGUGCACUAGUUCGGCGAAGAGAUGGUGAUACAAGUGCAAUAUGAAUGGUAGAUAUAGGUUUUUGUAAUCUGAAAAUAUAAAAACAGCAAGGUAACUAAUGAUAAAAGUGAGCGAAAAUGGUAUUGCAAUGCUUCGAAACAAGGCCUAGGGUUCAUACUUUCACUAGUGCAAGUUCUCUCAACAAUAAUAACAUCAUUAGAUCAUAUAACAAUCCCUCACCAGGCAACAAAGAGUCACUCAAGAGUCACUAAUAGUGGAGAACAAACGAAGAGAUUAUUGUAGGGUAAGAAACCACCUCAAAGUUAUUCUUUCCGAUCAAUCCAUUGGGCUAUUCCUAUAAGUGUCACAAACAGCCCUAGAGUUCGUAGUAAAAUAACACCUUAAGACACAAAUCAACCAAAACCCUAAAGUCAUCUAGAUACUCCAAGGUCACCUAGAGUAUCCGUGGGUAUGAUUAUACGAUAUGCAUCACACAAUCUCAGAUUCAUCUAUUCAACCAACACAAAGAACUUCAAAGAGUUCCCCAAAGUUUCUACUGGACAGUCAAGACGAAAACGUGUGCCAACCCCUAUGCAUAGAUUCCCAAGGUCACGGAACCCGCAAGUUGAUCACCAAAACAUACAUCAAGUGGAUCAAUAGAAUACCCCAUUGUCACCACGGGUAUCCCACACAAGACAUACAUCAAGUGUUCUCAAAUCCUUAAAGACUCAAUCUGAUAAGAUAACUUCAAAGGGAAAACUCAAUCCAUUACAAGAGAGUAGAGGGGGAGAAACAUCAUAAGAUCCAACUAUAAUAGCAAAGCUCGCGGUACAUCAAGAUUGUGCCAAAUCAAGAACGAGAGAGAGAGAGAGAGAGAGAGAGAGAGAGCGAUCAAACACAUAUCUACUGGUACAUACCCUCAGCCCCGAGGGUGAAGUACUCGCUCCUCGUCAUGGAGAGCGCUGGGAUGAUGAAGAUGGCCACCGGUGAUGGAUCCCCCCUCCGGCAGGGUGCAGGAACAGGGUCCCGAUUGGUUUUUGGUGGCACAGAGGCUUGCGGCAGCGGAACUCCCGAUCUAGGUUGUUUUAUGGAGGUUUGGGGAUUUCUAGGAGAGGUUGGCAUCGAGAACAAGUCAAGGGGGCCCACGGAGAGUCCACGAGGCACAGGGGCGCACCCCAGGGGGGUGGACCGGCCCUCCACCCUCGUGGGUCCCACGGGACUCCCCUCCCGUAACUUUUCAUUCCAAUAUUUUUUAUAUUUACAAAAAAAAUGUCCGUUGAUUUUCAGCGCAUUCCGAGAACUUCUAUUUCUGCACAAAAACAAGACCAGGGUAGUUCUGCUGAAAACAGCGGCUGUUCGGGUUAGUUCUAACCAAAUCAUACCAAAAGCAUGUAAAAAUAUUAUAAACAUGGCAUGAAUACCUCAAAAAUUAUAGAUAUGUUGGAGACGUAUCAACAUCCCCAAGCUUAAUUCCUGCUCGUCCUCGAGUAGGUAAAUGAUAAAACUAGAAUUUUUGAUUUGGAAUGCUACCUAACAUAUUUAUCAAUGUAAUCUUCUUUAUUGUGGUAAGAAUAUUCCUAUCCAUAGAUUCAAAACAAAAGUUUAAUAUUGACAUAAAAACAAUAAUACUUCAAGCAUACUAAUAAACCAAUCAUGUCUUCUGAAAAUAACAUGGCCAAAGAAAGUUAUCCCUACAAAAUCAUAUAGUCUGGCUACGCUCCAUCUUCAUCACACAAAAUAUUUAAAUCAUGCACAACCCCAGUUUCAGCCAAGCAAUUGUUUCAUACUUUAGUAUUUUCAAACUUUUUCAACUUUCACGCAAUACAUGAGCGUGAACCAUGGACGUAGCACUAUAGGUGGAAUAGAAUGGUGGUUGUGGAGAAGACAAAAAGGAGAAGAUAGUCUCAGAUCGACUAGGCGUAUCAAUGGGCUAUGGAGAUGCCCAUCAAUAGAUAUCAAUGUGAGUGAGUAGGGACUACCAUGCAACGGAUGCACUAGAGCUAUAAGUGUAUGAAAGCUCAAAAAGAAACUAAGUGGGUGUGCAAACAACUUGCUUGCUCACAAACCUAGGGCAAUUUGAGGAAGCCCAUCAUUGGAAUAUACAAGCCAAGUUCUAUAAUGAAAAAUUCCCACUAGUAUAUGAAAGUUACAACAUAGGAGACUCUCUAUCAUGAAUAUCAUGGUGCUACUUUGAAGCACAAGUGUGGUAAAAGGAUAGUUACAUUGCCCCUUCUCUCUUUUUCUCUCAUUUUUUUUUUGUUUUUUUGGGCCCUCUUUUUUUUCUGGCCUCUUUAUUUAUUUAUUUUUUAUUUUUCAUCCGGAGUCUCAUCCCGACUUGUGGGGGAAUCAUGGUCUCCAUCAUCCUUUCCUCACUGGGACAAUGCACUAAUAAUGAAGAACAUCACACUUUUAUUUACUAACAACUUAAGAAUUAAAACUUGAUACUUAGAACAAAAUAUGACUCUAUAUGAAUGACUCCGGCGGUGUACCGGGAUGUGCAAUAAUUCAAGAGUGACAUGUAUGAAAGAAUUAUGAACAGUGGCUUUGCCACAAAUACGAUGUCAACUACAUGAUCAUGCGAAGCAAUAUGAAAAUUGUGAAGCGUGUCAUAACAAACGGAACGGUGGAAAGUUGCAUGGCAAUAUAUCUCGGAAUGGCUAUGGAAAUGCCAUAAUAGGUUGGUAUGGUGGCUAUUUUGAGGAAGGUAUAAGGUGGGUGUAUGGUACCGGCGAAAGUUGCGCGGCAUAAGAGGGGCUAGCAAUGGUGGAAGGGUGAGAGUGCGUAUAAUCCAAUCCAUGGACUCAACAUUAAUCACAACUAACUUACAUACUUAUUGCAAAAAUCUAUUAGUCAUCAAAAAAAGUACUACACACAUGCUCCUAGGGGAAGGGUUGGUAGGAGUUAACCAUCGCGCGAUCCCGACUCCACUCAUAAGGAAGACAAUCAAUAAAUAAAUCAUGAUCCAACUUCAUCACAUAAUGGUUCACCAUACGUGCAUGCUACGGGAAUCACAAACUUUAACACAAGUAUCUCUCAAAUUCGCAACUACUCCACUAGCAUGACUCUAAUAUCAUCAUCUUCAUAUCUCAAAACAAUUAUAAAGAAUCAAACUUCUCAUGGUAUUCAAUGCACUUUAUAUGAAAGUUUUUAUUAUAUCCCUCUUGGAUGCCCAUCAUAUUAGGACUAAAUUUAUAACCCAAGCAAAUUACCAUGCUGUUCUAAAGACUCUCAAAAUAAUACAAGUGAAGCAUGAGAGUUCAUCUAUUUCUUCCAGAUAAAACCACUAUCGUUCUCUAAAAAGAUAUAAGUGAAGCACCAGAGCAAACGACAAAGUACUCCAAAAGAUAUAAGUGAAGAUCAAUGAGUAGUCGAAUAAUUAUGUAACUAUGUGAAGACUCUCUAACAUUUAAGAAUUUCAGAUCUUAUGUACUUUAUUCAAACAUCAAGCAAAACAAAAUAAAACAAAAUGACGCUCCAAGCAAAACACAUAUCAUGUGGUGAAUAAAAAUAUAGCUCCAAGUAAAGUUACUGAUGAACAAAGAUGAAAGAGGGGAUGCCAUCCGGGGCAUCCCCAAGCUUAGGCUCUUGAUUGUCCUUAAAUAUUACCUUGGGGGUGCCUUGGGAAUCUCCAAGCUUAGGCUCUUGCCACUCCUUAUUCCAUAGUUCAUUGAAUCUUUACCCAAAACUUGAAAACUUCACAACACAAAACUCAACAGAAAACUCGUAAGCUCCGUUAGUAUAAGAAAAUAAAAUCACCACUUAGGUACUAUUGUGAACUCAUUAUAAAUUCAUAUUGGUGUUAUAUCUACUAUAUUUAACUUCUCUAUGGUUCAUACCCUCCGAUACUACUCAUAGAUUCAUCAAAAUAAGCAAAAAAACACAUAGAAAACAUAAUAUGUAAAAAACAGAACAGUCUAUAGUAAUCUGUAACUAUCAAAUACUUCUGUAAAUCCAAAAAUUCUGAAAUAAAUUGGUGGACGUUUGGAAUUUUUCUAUUAAUGUUCUGAAAAAAUAAUCAACUUAAAAGCACUCUUCUGUUAAAAAUGACAAUUAUUCUCAUGAGCGCAAAGUUUAUGUUUUUUACAGCAAGAUCGCAUUAACUUUCACCCAAGUCUUCCCAAAGGUUCUACUCGGCACUUUAUUGAAACAAAAGAUAUAAAACAUGAUUAAUACAAUAGCAUAAUCAUGUGGACACACAAAAACAGUAGGGGUAAAUGUUGGGUAGUCUCCCAACAAGCGCUUUUCUUUAAUGCCUUUUUAGCUAGGCAUGAUGAUGACAAUGAUGCUCACAUAAAAGAUAAGAAUUGAAACAUAACAGGAGCAUCAUGAAGUAUAUGACUAGCAAAUUUAAGUCUAACCCACUUCCUAUGCAUAGGGAUUUUGUGAGCAAACAACUUAUGGGAACAAGAAUCAACUAGCAUAGGAAAGCAAAACAAGCAUAGCUUCACGAUUUUCAACACAUAGAGAGGAAACUUUAUAUUAUUGCAAUUCCUACAAGCAUAUGUUCCUCCUUCAUAAUAAAUUUCAGUAGCAUCAUGAAUGAAUUCAACAAUACAACUAUCACAUAAAGCACUAUUUUCAUGGUGCACAAGCAUAGAAUUUUUAUUACUCUCCACAUAAAUUUUUUGCUUCUCAUGGAUAGUAGUGGGAGCAAACUCAACAAAAUAACUAUCAUGUGAGGCAUAAUCCAAUUGAAAAUUAAAAUCAUGAUGACAAGUUUCACAGUUAUCAUUCUUCUUUAUAGCAUACAUGUCAUCACAAUAAUCACCACGGAUAGCAACUUUGUUCUCAUAAUCAAUUGGAACCUCUUCCAAAAUAGUGGAUUCAUCACUAAAUAAGGUCAUGGCCCAAAUCAACUUUCAGAAUUAUAAUCAUCAUAGAUAGGAGGCAUGCUAUCAUCAUAAUAAAUUUGCUCAUCGGAAUUUGGGGGACCGAAAAUAUUAUGUUCAUCAAACAUAGCAUCCCCAAGAUUGUAGCUUUGCAUAUCAUUAGCAUCAUGGAUAUUCAAGGAGAUACUAACAACAUUACAAUCAUUCUCAUCAUUCAAAGAUUUAGUGCCAAACAUUUUAUUGCAUUCUUUGUCUAACACUUUGGAACAAUUAUCGGAGUCCUUAUUUUCACGGAAGACAUUAAAAAGCUGAAGCAUAUGUGGCAUCCUCAAUUCCAUUUUUUUGUAGUUUUAUUUUAUAAACUAAACUAUUGAUAAAACAAGAAACUAAAAGAUUCAAUUGGAAGAUCUAAAGACAUACCUUCAAGCACCAACCUCUUCGGCAACGGCGCUAGAAAAGAGCUUGAUGUCUACUACACAACCUUCUUCUUGUAGACGUUGUUGGGCCUUCAAGUACAGAGGUUUGUAGGACAGUAGCAAAUUUCCCUCAAGUGGAUGACCUAAGGUUUUAUCAGUCCGUGGGAGGCGUAGGAUGAAGAUGGUCUCUCUAAAACAACCCCACAACCAAAUAACAAAGAGUCUCUUGUGUCCCCAACACACCCAAUACAAUGGUAAAUGGUAUAGUUGCACUAGUUCGGCGAAGACAUGGUGAUACAAGUGCAAUAUGGAUGGUAGAUAUAGGUUUUUGUAAUCUGAAAAUAUAAAAACAGCAAGGUAACUAAUGAUAACAUUGAGCGAAAACGGUAUUGUGAGGCUUCGAAACAAGGCCUAGGGUCCAUACUUUCACUAGUGCAAGUUAUCUCAACAAUAAUAAAUAAUUAGAUAAUAUAACAACCCCUCAACAUGCAACAAAGAGUCACUCCAAAGUCACUAAUAGCAAAGAACAAAUGAAGAGACUAUUGUAGGGUACGAAACCACCUCAAAGUUAUUAUUUCUGAUCAAUCCAUUGGGCUAUUCCUAUAAGUGUCACAAACAGCCCUAGAGUUCGUAGUAAAAUAACACCUUAAGAUAUAAAUCAACAAAAACCCUAACGUCACCUAGAUACUCCAAUGUCACCUCAAGUAUCCAUGGGCAUGAUUAUGUGAUAUGCAUCACACAAUCUCAGAUUCAUCUGUUCAACCAACACAAAGAACUUCAAAGAGUGCCUCAAAGUUUCUACCGGAGAGUCAAGACAAAAACAUGUGCCAACCCCUAUGCAUAGAUUCCCAAGGUCACGGAACCCGCAAGUUGAUCACCAAAACAUACAUCAAGUGUAUCAAUAGAAUACCCCAUUGUCACCACGGGUAUCCCACGCAAGACAUACAUCAAGUGUUCUCAAAUCCUUAAAGACUCAAUCCGAUAAGAUAACUUCAAAGGGAAAACUCAAUACAUUACAAGAGAGUAGAGGGGGAGAAACAUCAUAAGAUCUAACUAUAGUAGCAAAGCUCGUGGCACAUCAAGAUCGUGCCAAAUCAAGAACACGAGAGAGAGAGAGAUCAAACACAUAGCUACUGGUACAUACCCUCAGCCCUGAGGGUGAACUACUCCCUCCUCGUCAUGGAGAGCGCCGGGAUGAUGAAGAUGGCCACCGGUGAUGGAUCCCCACUCCGGCAGGGUGACGAAAUAGGGUCCCGAUUGGUUUUUGGUUGCUAUAUAGGCUUGCGGUGGCGGAAUUCCCGAUCUAGAUUAUUUUCUAGAGGUUUGGGGAAUGAACAUGUCAGGGGGGCCCAUGGAGAGUCCACGAGUCACAGGGGCGCCCCCCAGGGGGGUGGGCAAGCCCUCCACCCUCGUCGGGCCCAUGGGACUCCCCUCCAGUAACUUUUUGUCCCAAUAUUUUUUAUAUUUUCCAAAAAAUAUCUCCGUUGUUUUUCAGUGCAUUCCGAGAACUUUUAUUUCUGCACAAAAACAACACCACGGUAGUUCUACUAAAAACAGCGUCAGUCCGGGUUAGUUCUAACCAAAUCAUACCUAAAGCAUGUAAAAAUAUUAUAAACAUGGCAUGAAUACAUCAAAAAUUAUAGAUACGUUGGAGACGUAUCAGUCCCCAAGAGGAAAUAUUUUGAUCAACAGACUAAGAAAUGUUUUAACUGUGCCCGCAGUUGGCGCCGAUGAGGUCGAGUCCCUGAACGCACCCUUGCCCAGGCCAAGAAGGUAGCAGAGGCGAGCAAGGCGGUCGCAGAGAAGCCGACCGAACGCUUAGAGGAGGAGAAGACCACCCGCCAGCAGCAAGAGGCACGGGUGUGUGAGGUUGAAAAAGAGGCCAAGGACGCUAUUGCUAGAUGUGAGUCCUUGGAGCAGAUGAGCUCGGAACAUGCCUUCGAGCUUGCCAAAGCCCAUGAGAGCCUGAAGGAAGCCCGGGCUGAUGCCCGGGACGCUCUCCAAGAAAUCCAGGAGGCGAGGAGUAUUGCGGCUGGUAAGGCCUUUAUUGUGGAGAGUAGGUAUACCAAUAGAAGAUAUAUUUUACUAACCCGAGUUUGGAGUUCUCCAGGCGCCUUUGCCGAUCUGCCAAGAAGCAUUGCGGACGCUGCCAUAUUCUUCCGAGCCGAAGAGGGAAGUUCUACGGAGAAACUAUACUGGUCGCAGUACCUAGCGCCGGAGCUUCUAGUGUCCCUGAGUGACCAGAUGAAGCAGUUGUCCGAGCUACAUACGAUGGCUGAUCUGGCCAUGAAGGACAUGGUAGCCCGUCUGUGGUCGGCCGAAGCCAUGCCUAGCAGCCACUUUGGGCUCGUGAAGAAACUUGUGGAGGCGCUCCCUCGGAUUGUUGCCCUUAAGCGGUCAUACUGUAUUGAGGAUUCUCGGAUGGCCUUUGCCCGUGUGAAGGUUUAGUGGGAGAAGAUGAAAUCCACCGAGGUUGCAACCGCAGGGCCACUUGAGGGCAAGGAACUGUGGCACCCUGGCUCAGAGCAACCGGUUUACCAUGCAUUGCCAGCCCAGACACCAUGUCUUCUGGCAACACACAACAUCUUGGUACAGAAAACAACCGCUUUAUUGAUGCUAGCAGAUCAAAGUUUAUAUUACAACAGGUAGCGAGGCCAAGCGGCACACACGGUGCGGCUGAACAAUAUGUACAUUAUUUAGUGAACAUAAAUGGUGCCUCGAUCAUCACAACUACACGGCAGCGGAACAACGUCAUAGCGGAACUCCAUAGCACAGGGACGCCGAUGUGGACAAUAUCUAGACUCGGACAGCACUCCUUUCCAACGAGACUUUCCUGAAAUCUGGACACGCUAGGUCAGUACAUCGAAUGUACUUGCAAGCUCACAACAAGCAUAAACAUAAUGACAAACAAUAUCAUGAUAAUUUAACCAAUUCAUAAUAAUGCAACAAUAUAUCCAACAUGCUGUGAACAUACUCUUGUGAUAAAAGUCCCUCAGACUACCUUACCAACGGUGAUCUCUCUUGGAUCACAGACAUACCAACCUCAAGGUAUUAACUAGAAACAUCUCGUGAUCAUUCCGGCGAUCACAACCACGACCAAUAUUUGGUCUUAAACGGUGAUCCCGCCGGCGAUCACAACGACGACCAACACUUGGUCUAAAACAAUAAGAUGACCUUUCCGCCAUCAUCAACAGUGCCAAGUUCAUAACUUAGUGUGCAAGAUUUAUUAAAUGUUGACCCAUGGUGUGACCUACUUUCAAGCGUGUCCAUAACCGUGGACUCGGCUAUCGAUAGAUUAAUACACUCUGCAGAGGUAGCGCACUGUACCCACACCACGGAACCCAUGGCCUCGCACUCCCAUUCGGGUGGACCAACGACAUUCCAACGAAACCCUUCCAUUGCCAUGACACUCUCCCGGCCACUCUGACUCACUCCCCACUAGGCUAGUCCUGGGUGGCCCCGUGUCUACCAAAGACACAAUGACCACCGUCGUGGCCAAAACAUAAACGAUCCCACACGGGGACCCCAUAAACUCAACAACGAGCACACAAGGUUAUGGCUGCUUACCGGGCCAGGGUACCGCACGCCCAUAACUUUCCCUCGUUGGAGGCACCGACCAGAGGCAUGACAACGGACCGAAUAAAGGCCUUCCCAUAAAGGCAAAUGUGGUUGCACUGGGAAAAAAACUUGAUUCAGUGGCACCAUUACCCGGUCAACAAUAUAUUCAAGUUGAGUUAUUAACAGUUUCAACUUAAUGUGAAAAUAACCGGUGUCAUAGCAUGCCAUGAAAUGCAACUCUAACAUGCAUCACAUAUCAAUGAAAAUGACUGAGUCAACUAUAUCCACACUAAGCAUAAUCAUCAGCAACUCAUGACACUUCUUUGGUUAAGAUUAAACCUCACUUUAUUCAGAAUCUUUUCUAGCAAAUUUUACCAUUUUUACUCAUGCAAGAAAAUAACUCCACUAAUUAUUUAUAUCCAUAACCAUAUUAUUCUUUUAAUCACCCAAAAUAAAUCAUAGUUUCUUUACCAACUAAGUUCGCCUCAAACUUUCUGUAAAUCAAGCAUAUUAAAUAAAACAAGCAAUUAACAGAAUAUAAUUAACAUAAUAGUGAUUUAAAUGCAUGGAUUAAAUCAUUCACUCAAGUAGAAAAUCACAAAUAUUGUAAUGGCACCAUGAAAAUGUUGCUGUGGCUUGCCUUAGUGCAGAUGAGGUUCACAAGCCUCCAGGUGAUCCUCAACACAAGCCUCACCCUCUGAAAAUAAUUAAAAGCACAAAAAGAAAAUAUCAAGAACCCUUUCGAAAUUCACCAGAAAAUCUAGACAGCAGGGAAAAAAAUCCCAUCUUUGGUGAGCUGCUAGAUUUUUGAACAAAGAACACAAUGCAAAAAGAAUCAAUUCAUUUGGACUUAUGGUUAAAAAGUUGUGGCUGUUUGAAUUUAAAUAAACAGACUGAGGGGGGGGGGGUGACGUCGAAGGCGUAAUGCCUCGGGGCGCCACCACUCAUACCGCUUCGCGCGUGUACUGAGUGGAUGACUAGCGGUCUCCGCUAGUCAGGUGAGGGGGAGAGAGAGAGGGAAACAGAGGACAGCACGGCUUCGUCGGAGCGCACGCCGGUGACAAGGGCUCCUUGGCCAGAACGAGAGGGAGGGAUCGAAAGAGGAGACGGAGGCGCACCUGCCCGUACUCAUAGAGUAGCUAGGGGUGGUCGAACGGCACCAGAAUCAGCCUCUCCUACGGAGGCAGAGAGCAGAGGUCACCGGAGACGAAGACGACGGUGAACGGAGGCGACUCCAGGGGCUCCAACCGGGCAGAACAACACCACCGACGAGCGGAGGAGUCCCUGGAAGAGUUGCCCUGGCCUGGGAGGGGCUGGAACCGCGGAGACAACCCGAGGGGAUCGCCGGCGAACUCGAGCUCGGGGACGGUGGCCCGCGGCCUGCCCGGCCGGGCUACGGCUUUCUACGUGCUUGUGGAGUGUGUGGGAGUGGUGGAUGGUGCUCGAGGAGGCUGGGGAGGGCCCUAUUUAUAGCCGAGCGUCAAGGGGGGUUCGGGCUCCGCCGGUGGACACCUGGCCACGGCACCCGGCAACGAACGACGUCAGUGAGAGGGGGUGAAGAAGACGCAGCUCACGCAAGAACUAUGGGAUAAAGGGGACGAGCAUAGGGGCGAGAGGAAGGUGACGAGCACAGUGCGCACUGCACUAUUGCGUUGGACGGACCGUGCCUAUGCCCGCUGCGGCGAGCUCCGGCGUUGGCGAGCGCCAGGGGGGAGCUAAAAAGGUCGAGACAAUGAUCAUGGUGAAGUUUGGUACGCUCAGGCAGGCGGGGAAGCGAGCAUGCGCGCAACAGAGCACUCGGCGGCACUCAGAGUGCGUCGGCUGCAUGCCUGCACACCUGGACGAACGCGGUCACGCUACAAAAAAAGACACAUCCGUGACAUUUUGGGCCGAACGAAUUUUUUUCUGUCAUACAUAUGACACUUCUAUGACGAUAAUUGUGACAAAACCCGGUAUCAUCAUAGAUGUGGUGGGCUCCUACUUCUAUGACAAAAAAUCAUGACAGAAAAUGGGCUUUUCAUCCUGGGCGGGCCGGAGACGCAGCUGCAUGACAUUCUUUGGGCCGUCCAUGACGGAAAAAACCAUGGUAGAAGCGAGGGGGAGGAUAAUUUUGGGGAGUUGCCGGUUACGGUGGAAGGUCGGGGGCGGAGCGAUGCGCGUUUCUCUCGUACGUACGCGCGUGUGUGCGAGGCGUUGGCUCUAACUGAACCCGAGCGAGGCGUUGGGCUCUAACUGAACCCAAGCAAUUGCACUGCACGCUACGCGUUACUGAACCCGAGCGAUCGAUCGAUGGCUGUUAACUGAACCCGAUGGAGCGAUUCCUUUGCUACUGCUGCUAACUGAAGCCGAUCGAUGCUGCCUCUAGGAUGAACAGUGAGCGUUGUGGGGGGGGGGGUUGGAUGAACAGUGAGUGGUGGCGUUGCCUCUGGAUGAACAGGACCUGUGGUGUGGAGGGCUGGAUGAAUAGUAGACGAUGGAGGGGUGGCCGUGGAGGGGUGGUUGAACCGGACCCUGUGGUGUGGAGGGCUGGAUGAACAGUAGACGGUGGAGGGGUGCCCGUCGAGGGAUGGUUGAACAGUAGCCGGUGGAGUAGCGCACGGUGGAGGGUGGAUGAAUAGGAGCCCGUGGAGGCUGGAGGAGGUCGACGGUAGCCCGUGGAGGCUGGAGGAGGUCGACGGUGGAGAUGAACAGUAUCUCGUGGAGUCCCGUUUUGUGGUACGCCACACCCCUCCCUCCCCACCCCCCGUUUCGACCAUAGCGCUCCAACACAAGUCCGUUUCGUCCGUUUUGCGGUACGCCACACCCCUCCCGAUGAACAGGACCCCCGUUUCGACCGUAGCCCUCCAACACAAGUCCGUUUCGUCAGUUUUGCGAUACGCCACACCCCUCCCGAUCAACAGGACCCCCGUUUCGACCAUAGGAGGUCCGUUUCCUCCGUUUUGCGGUACACCAGGCCCCUCCCGAUCAACAGGACCCCGUUUCUAACGUGGCCGGUCGAACACAAGGGUGUUUCCUUCGUUGUGCGGUAUGCCAGGCCUCGUUUCCAUCGCCUGUUCCGUCCAAGCCUUCCCAAUGAAGACGACCACGUAUUCCGUUCCGACCCAGCCGGUUGGCUCCCCAUGAACACGACGACGAUGCUGUUUCUCCGUUCCGACCCAGCCAUGUACGUAUGUGCGAUAGGCGUUAGAGACCCUGCCCGUAUGUACGUACGUGGCCGUAUUUUCUUUCUUGCACCCUCACCGCUGUACGUACGUGUACAUGCUACGUGCGCGCCUCUACUACGACACGUGCGCGCCUCUACAUCUACGACACGUACGCGCCUCUACAUCGACCAGUAUGUACGUACACGUUCGCGACCAGAAUGACAACGCUACGUACGCUUCGACCAGGUGGGUCCCGACUGUCAGGCACUUCCUUGCGUGCGAAGAUGUAGCUGGUGGGUCCCAGCAGUCAGGGGGGCGAAUCGUUUUUUUUGCCCGGACACACUUCCUUGUGUGCGAAAAUGUAGCUGGUGGGUCCCAGCAGUCAGGGGGCGAAUCGUGUUUUUGCCUGGACGCACUUCCUUGCAUGCGAAGGUGCAGCUGGUGGGUCCCAACAGUCAUGGGGGAAACAUUUCUUUCACGAAAUACUGUGGCCCGUCCGGUGGGUCCCAGCUGUCAGGUGGAGGAAUAAUUAUUUUCCGCGUAAUAAGGAGGCACUUCCUUGCUGCGGACGUGGACCCAGCUGUCAGCCUCUCCACAUACAGUCCACGUCUGAUGGAAGUUGUUCCUUGACCACGUUGACCACGCCGCGCCGAGAGCACCAGGGAGGUGGAUGACGGCGAGGCCUAGGAAGGGUACGCCGAGGAGCCGGGGAAGACGCGGCAGUGGAAGCCCGCGCGGAGAGGAGUACGAGGGUUCACUGGUUCGGCUGCGGUGUGAGGCUGCCGUCGCCGCAGGGCCUAGCCAGCGGUGGGAAUAGUAGGGGGCGGUGAGGCCUGCGCGACAGCACAUCCGGCCAUGGGAAGCAGGAGCAUGCGGCACGACCGACACUGCUUUGGGCGGCUGGAGCAAGAAGACCAGAGGUUGAAGAAGCACUACGGCCGUUGGAUGGACAUUGUACGGUCACUGGAGCUAGAAUCAUUUAUAUUGACUAUGUUGACAAAGCCCUUCAUCCCCGUCAACUUAGUAGGCCCACAAGUCAGCCUCCCAUCAAGGUGGGUCCCAGCUAGCAGGGGGUAUUCAUUUUUUUGUGCGUAAUAAGGAGGCACUUCCGGUGGGUCCGAGCUGACAGCAGGGGGAACGUUUUUUUCACGAAAUACGGUGGCCCAUCGGGUGGGUCCCAGCAGUCAGGGGUAAACAUUUUUUUUCGCAAAAUACUGGUGGCCCGUCUGGUGGGUCCCUGCUGUCAGGUGGAGGAAUAAUUAUUUUCCGCAUAAUAAGGAGGCACUUCCUUGCGGCUGUCGUGGACCCAGCUGUUAGCCUCUUCACGUACAAUAUUCUUCCGAUGGAAUUCGGUCGUUGACCACAUUGACCACGCCGUGCCGAGAGCACCACGGCGGUGGACGACGGCGAGGACUAGGAAGGGGAUGACACAGAGCCGGGGAAGACGCGGCAGUGGAUGCCCACGCGGAGAGGAGUACGAGGGUUCACUGGUUUGGCUGCGCUGCCGUCGCCGCAGAAUAACAGGUGGUGUGGGUGAGUGGAGUGGAGGGAUGGCCUGGCCAGCGGUGGGAGUAGUAUGAAGGCGGUGAGGCCUCCGCGGCAGUACAGCCGCCCACGAGAGGCAGGAGCAGGCGGCACGACCGGCGCUGCUUUGGGCGGCUGGAGCAAGAAGACCAGAGGUUGAAGAAGCACUAUGGCCGUUGGAUGGAUAUCGUACGGUCACUAGUGCUAGAAUCGUUUAUAUUGACUAAGUUGAUAAAGCUCUCCGUCCCCGUCAACUUAGUAGGCCCACAAGUCAGCUUCCCACCAAGGUGAGCCCCAGCUAGCAGGGGGAGUAUUCAUUUUUUUGUGUGUAAUAAAGAGGCACUUCCGGUGGGUCCGAGCUAACAGCCGGGGGAACGUUUUUUUCGUGAAAUACGGUGGCCCGUCCGAUGGGUACCAGCAGUCAGGGGGGAAACGUUUUUUUCCGCGAAAUAAGGUGGCCCAUCCGGUGGGUCCCUGUUGUCAAGUGGAGGAAUAAUUAUUUUGUGCGUAAUAAGGAGGCACUUCCUUGCGGCCGCCGUGUACCCACCUGUCAGCCUCUCCACGUACAGUACUCUUCCGAUGGAAGUCGGUCGUUGACCACGUUGACCACGCCGCACCAAGAGCACCAGGGCGGUGGACGACGAUGAUGCCUAGGAAGGGGACGACGCGGAGCCGGGGAAGACGCAGCAGUGGAAGCCCGCGCGGAGAGGAGUACGAGGGUUCACUGGUUCGGCUGCGGUGUGAGGCUGCCGUCGCCGCAGAAUAACAGCGGGUGUGGGUGAGUGGAGGGAUGGCCUGGACAGCGGUGGAAGUAGUAUGGGGGCGAUGAGGCCUCCGCGGUAGCACAGCCGGCCACGGGAGGCAGGAGCAGGCGGCACGACCGGCGCUGCUUUGGGCGGCUGGACCAAGAAGACCAGAGGUUGAAGAAGCACUACGGCCGUUGGAUGGACAUCGUACGGUCACUGAAGCUAGAAUCAUUUAUAUUGACUAAGUUGACAAAGCCCUUUGUACGCUCCAACUUAGUAGGCCCACAGGUCAGCCUCUGAAAUGGUGCACCCCAGAUGUCAGGGGGAGGAAUCAUUUUUUGGGCGGCCGAAGCUAAGAAUAUCCGAGAUUGAAGAAGAAGCACGACAUCCGUUGGAUAGACAUCCAACAGCCACUGCUACUAGAACCGUGUGUUGACUAUAAUAAGUUGACAAAGCCUUGCAUAUGCGUCAACUUAUUUUUUUUAGGGGACGCGUCACUUAGUAGGCCCACAAGUGUAUGGCAGAGAACUUAUAGCCCAUUUGCGUUUUGUAAGAAUGUACAUCCCAUUUUUGAAUUCUAAUGGAAUUUACAACAGCGCAUUUACAGUUUGUUAAAAGUACAACCCAUUUUCUAGUUAGGACAACGAUUAAUAAUUUCAACCAACCGUUGAAGACAAAAUUCAAUAAAAUUUCCCACAUUUUUAUGGGAUCCGAAAUAUUUUUAUCCCAAAAUUUCUAUUCAGACUAAAUAUAAAUUUGUAUUACGUAAAAAUCCAACAAAACAUUCCGCGCGCAAUAAUGAAAAUUUAAGAUUUUCAAAAUCCAUAAAUAAUAUUUUAUAAACUAAUUUCGUGUUUGGUGCAUUUUUUUAUAGUUACUGCCCAGUUUUUAUAAUUACAUCCCAUUUAUUAUUAAAGCCCAUUUUCCUAUUAAGCCUAAUGCAUCCCUCCUAGGAAAAAUUUGCAGCACAGCGGGGCGGAGAAUAACAAGUUGACCUUGCCUAGGUAUUCCUCAAAAAGACGUAUAGCUGGGCUACCCAUUUUCACCUUGAAAAAAGUAGUAUCUGGGCUGGAUAUCUGGCCUGGGCUAGACGGGCCACAGCCCGCCCAGUUAAUACCCUGCUCUCCUCUGAACAACAACGAAAUCAUCGCCAAGAAAAACUCUGCAGUGCUCACACCUCCAAAACACAAAUACUGCUCGAGCUGCUUGGUCCCAGCUGUCGACCGCACCUUGUGCAAUUCUCUCGUUUAUAUUGACUACAUAGGUUGACAAUGGUGUUGGACCGUGAUGUCAGGAAACCAGGAGAAAGCAAAAAAAAAUAUAGUUGUACAUAAUAAGGAGGCACUUGCGUACGUACGGCUAUGGCCCUAGUGGGUCCCUAGUGUCAUCCAGUCAAAAUAAAGUCAUCUCCUGAAUCCUCAUGUUCGUUGACCAUGUUAACAAUGCUCGGUGCCACGGCGAGUGCAACAACUCGAAGGACAACGGAGAGGGCCUCGCGGGCCUUACGGAGGUCUGAUACAGCGCCCGCUGCUCAUUCAGGAAGCCAGGAUCAUCGGACACCUAUGACCACCUUCGAGAAACUAAGACGACAUGAAAUGGUAAGGCCGCGCUUGGGAGCUCUGGUUUAUUUCAAACCUGUAUUAACAUACAAGUGUAAUUUACUCGUCAUCGGAAGGCCCGAGGUCUGUAAGUAAAACCGGCGGGUUACGCGUGUAAUUUGAGGGACUAGUGUAUCUUUUACGAGCAUUGCUAUAUGGACGAUAUUACCAGACGAUACAUGCACGAUGUGCGUAUCAUGCCAUGCAUGGGCAAGGCUGAAACAGCACCUAACGGCUGGAUUAGCAAUCGUCCGAGUGUCGUUCAGCGUUUUUCUCAUGUGUGAAGUACUUCUGAUAUUUUACUAGUCAAAAUCGACUAACCAAGUGCCUUCGCCCGGGACCAUCUGCUUUAAUUUACAAGUGUCAGUUUAACAAGCGGUUUUGGUUGGAAAACGACGAUCCAAUCACGGCCUAAUAUCAUGAGUUGGUUGGAAGAUCAUAUGGUUUCACGUCUAACCUACCCGACAUGUCGUAUAGGCUAUGAAUGAAACAUCAGACGAUGAACUUCUUACGCACGGAAACAACAGAAGAGGAUGAUCUUCUUAACAAGCAAAUCACUGGCAUUAGAUCGACAUGCAAAACAAUACGAAGCAUUAUUCUCAGGAGGCACGGUGAACAGCUCGUGACGCCGCAUGCCACAACAUUCCAAGCUCAACUUUGCAAUCGAACACAAGGCCUGGAAUUACAUAGACAAUAUUCAGAACAAACUCUUAACACAGGAAUAUCUCAGCAGAGUAACUAUUUACUUCUAAAUUGAACACAGGAAUAGGAAAAAACACUCGACGCUGCUCACAGCAAGGGCGUCCCACUCAAAAAUAUCAAAUGCAUGUCUUCUGGCUAACAUUAAUGAGCAAAUUUUGACAAGAUUUUCCAAUUCCAAUAUAUUGAACUAACGUCUUGUUGCAAACAUCAAUGAGCAAAUUUUGACAAGGUUUUCCAAUUCCAAUAUAUUAAACUAACUUCUUCUUGCUAACAUCAAUGAUUAAACUUUGACAAGCUUUUCCUAUUCAAAAUAUGUAAUGCCUAUGAUCGUGUCCUGUCUUAGCUUCUUGUACUUGUUUGGGCACUUUUUGCCCAAGGCACUCCACGUGUUGUUAAAUUGCCAAUGGUCUCUGCAGACUAGUCAUGUCACCGGUGUCUAAUAAUACUCUAUAAAGCUUCUCGGUCAUUCCUUCUGUAAUGGACCGCAUCCAGUGAAUGCUUCUUUCUGCAAAGUAGAACGACCAACUGGACCCAGUAACGCAGCAGUUUGCCUUGGACACAUUGGCUCCUUUUGUGCAGUUCAACUAAAAUCGAAGUCAGAAUAAAACCGAGCUUUAAUUUUGAGAUCCCUGUAAGCAACAAUAGGUAUAAGGGAAACAAUUACUGAAAAAUAACGGUUGUUGACUUGCCUUAAUGGGAAACAAAGGAGGAGAGGAGCAAUUCUCCAUCAAUGUGAUUCAUUCAUAUUGACUGAGGCAUUAUCUUAACAAUGCCUUGGUUAAACAUGUAUAAAGAACGACAAAGCAGAAAAGUACCAUUCCUAAAACAAUGCAACUGAUUCAUUUUUAAAGAGACAUUAUCUUAACAAUACCUUGGUUAAACAUGUAGAAAGAACUACAAAGUAGGAUAGUUCCAUUCCUAACAAGUGUUGCAGUUUUGAACUAAGAUUCAAUAGUUAAUUAAUUCUGAGAGUGGCAUUGCUUAAUUUUACCAGCGGCAUUAGAUUAACGAAAAGCAUAAACAGUUCCAGGGGAGAGUGGGCGCAACAACAAUAUGUGCUUCCAUCUACUUAUAAAGGGGGUGAUGCAGAGUUUGUUGUAACAAAGCAACAAGCAUCAUGUCUAGGUUGGUCCCAUUUUUGUUCACUACUUAAUGGGAAAAGACAGCAAUACAAUAGCUUCAAUUCAACAUUUAUUUAAAACAGUACCAAUACAAGUAGCACAACAUCUCAAAGCACACUGCACAAUCAUGUGGGUGAAGGCCUGUUGACCUUUCAUGAGAACACCAGGAUAAAAUAUGAAUCCGCUAACACGAAUAGGAAAUCCAAUCUCAUUUUGUGCAGUUGCACUGAAAUCAAGCAAAGUGUUUCGCGUAGCGAAGCAAAAUGUCGCAAUAGCAACAAGUUGAAUACAUAUCAUGUAGUAGAGACCAAGAUUUGAAACAACUCGACAGGAACAAUGGAAACAAAUCUCGAUCUCCUUUUGUGCAGUUCCACCAAAAUUAAGCAAAGUCACCGGUGUGACAUUCAAGUUGAACUGCACAAAACACUCUUAAAACAUAAGUGUUUCGAGUAGCGAAGUAAAAUGUCGCAAUAGCAACAAGUUGAAUCGAUACCCCUGUUUUAACAGAGGCAAAAAAGGAAACAAUUACUUGCCGAUAAAGGAGGAUGAAACAAACGGUGACAGAAAGAAGCAUCUAACUUAUCUUGGAUGGAAACAAAGUAGGAUAGUAGCAUUUCUAAAACGGUAGCAUUGAUUCAUAUUAACAGAGACACUCUCUUGAAACAACAUUCGUUAAAAAAUGUACUUUACUUUUAACUGUGGCAUUGCUUCAAUUUUCCGGCGGCAUUCUAGGGCCUGUUUGGUUCCAAUAAGUCACCAGUGACUUAUAAGUUAUGCAUGUUUGGUUGUCACCUGACUUAUAAGUCAUCUGACAUACCUUCCCACACCAAUCAACAUCAUGUAGCUGGUGGGACACACGUAAAAGGGGGUGACUUAUAAGUUUUAAGUUGGGGUGGAGCAACUUAUGACUUAUAAGUUAGGGUGACUUAUAAGUCGGGUCUGUUUGGCAAAAUAAGUCACUUUUUUCACUAUUCGACUUAUAAGUUGGUGACUUAUUUGGAACCAAACAGGCCCUUAGAUUAACAACAGCAAAAUAGCUGUAUGGCACAUGCUAGCACCAUGUGCGUCCACACGUAUAAAUGGGUGAUGCAGAGUAUGUAGCCAAGCAACAUAUCUGUGUUGCUCCCAUAUUUGUUCUCUUUGAACUUUUUUCCUAUGUGAGGGUAGCAAAUCUAGUCCUGCACAAACUAUCCGACCCCCCCCCCCAGUUUCUUUCCCUUUUCAACAAAGAGAUCGGUUCCUUACAGAUGUGUGUACUGGGUUACCCCCUUUUUCCCUUUUCGACCAACAAAGCGGCUGGAUAGCCAGUUUAUACUACUUUUCCUCCCUCCUUUCCUCAUUGAACCACGUCCUAGAUUCAUGCUCCACCCCACCGCACCUUUCUUUCCUCUUUGAACCAAGACCUAGAUUCGACUACAGAUCGAAAAAGAUCCACAUGUAGCUAGAGCAACGAUGGUUUCAAAGAAAACUUAUACCUUAGGGUCGUCGGGAUGUGGAAAGGCGUGCGGUGGGAGGCCGGAUUUGCCCACACUACGUACGGAAGCGAGGAAGAAGGGGUCGGUGGCCCUCCCGCACAGGCGCUGGGUGAAAGAGAACAGCGCAGCCGACAGUGGAUUGCCUCCCUCGCCGAAGGCGAUAGAGUUAACGUUGCACCUCCUCCCCUUCCCGGUGCGACGGGAUACGGAUGCCUCCUUCACCAGCUGUGAGGGGGAAAGAGACAAGAGGCCAAUGCAGUCUUGUUUAGAUCUGGUGAAGAGAGGGUGAGAGACUGUGAAUAUAGCAAACCCUAGCAAAUGAAUGCUGAGCCUCCAGCGUGUAACAUAUAUGUAUUGCGGCGAGCGUGUGGAGAGUGCAAACCCUAGCGAACAAGCGAUGAGGCUCCCGCUUAUAUAUAUACUAAUGUAGUACGGACUGAGCUCCAGUGCCUUCACUCCAUGUGCUUUUGGUUGUAUGACAGGUGAGCUAGCCACAUUUUGGGCCCACCUGUCAUAAACCCAAAGGCAGGUGCACUAAGUCAAUGAAGCUGCGUCCAUAUAGUACUCUCGUGUGUAUACGACAAAUAUAUAGUGGAGUAGUUUUCUUAUUCUCUCCAUAACAAUCGUUUUAAAUUGUGUAAGUACGAAACAAAACUCUUUAUUUAAUGUACAGAGGGAGUACUACUUCUGAUGAACUAACGAUCCACGCCCACGCGUCCUGGUCACACUUCCUGUCCUUCACGUGUGGUACACUACCCUCCCUUAAGUGAACAACCACACAUGCGCCAAAUUAUCGGAAACGUGUGACAGUUUGUACAAAUAAAGAAUUUUAAUUUCAAUUAUCGGAAAGGUUUGAGAGUAUUACAAAGUUUGACUUUAGUCAAAUCUAAUAUGCAGAGUAAAUAAAAAUGGAGGGCUACUACGUCCAUCCGGGUUUUUAGUACACACUAUUUUUUAAAUCAAAGUUAAUAGCUGGACAAAUAAAAUUACAGGGGAGCUGGAGACAAAGUUGUGAGAAGGCUUAGAAAUCUAUACUACCUCCUUUCCAGUUUAUAGGGCUCAAUUUAAAAAUCUCACCAACCAAGAUAGAUGAUGAGUGGUGGAAUAAUUUUCGUGGUUUGUAAAAUCACUCAAUUAAUGCGCUCAUUUUCCUCAAAGAAUUGUGUUUACCAAUGCAUUAUUUGCAAUGCAUGCAUGCAUGGAGUACAUGCAUUGGUCAAGUUUCUCAUAAUACUUGCAUGCAAUGAAUUAAUGCACCUUGAAAUCUGAGCAUGUGAUGAGGAACAAUCAAAUUGAGACUUAUAAAAUGGGAAACCAAAUUUUUUGAGAUAAGCCCUAUAAACCGGGAAGGAGGGAGUACAAAACUUAUGCUCUUAGUACCAACGUCGAUCCUUCUUCGAGGAAACAUUUGGUUCAUAGCCAAUUGUGUGAUAAAAUUGCUCCAACGUGAAAGACGACUGCGUCUCCAAGGUGAACUGACGAAGGAUAUCAUCUUUGUGCGUAACAAGCAAAGAGCACUGAUGGAAGACAGCGUGUUUUUCAUUUAAAAUCAAUCAGCUUCACCAGCCGACGCAACCAUGAGGCGCGACCAUGAGCAUCGAUAGUUUGUGGUCUAUUUUUUUUGUCCUAGUUUUUUUGUUUCUUGUUGCUACAUUAUAUACUUGUGGGAGCUUAGAUGUGAUAUCCUUAAAUAACAUCUAGAUGUGAAUUGGACAAACUGAUUUUCUAACGUACCAAGAAAUAAAACUCGAUCAAAAACACGCCCCCGCUUCCAGGUCGCGAGAGUCGUCACACACACACACAUAGACAUAGACAUGCAUAUCCGUGUUUACGUAAAAUUCCAUUUCCAUCUCCAUCUCCAAUCAUAUUUGUCCAACUGGCACGUUAUUCACGUUGUUAAUUAUAUACGCAGCAAUAUUAACGUACAACAUCUCUUGUUUGCGCACGUCCGGACCGCUGCCACGGCCGGUCCUGACCAACCCGAACCCUCUUUAUCACCCGCGUGUGCUUCCCGCCCGAAACGGUCAGUGCCGCAUUCAUGCCCGGCUAGAGCGGACGCGACCUCUCACUGGCGCCGGCAUUGAAGCGACACGCCGGCCGAGAGAGCAUCGCCCGUGCCGCUUCCGGGUGCACGCGGCUGCUCCGCGUUCAAAGGUCGCAAUAGCAGGCUACAACAUGCAUGUAAAAAGUUUUUGGGAGUCCGUGCUACAGCUAGCUGUCCUCCCCCAACUCGUCAAUCUCUUCCAGUAGUGCUAGUAGUACUCCAUGGCGUGACCCAUCGACUAGCAGGCGGGAAAGUUAUCGUAUACUCGGUAUGCGGUGAGUGGCAUGCCGAGCGACAAUGUGGGGUCGAGCCGUGGAGGAGGGUGAGACACGAACACGACAGACGUGAUUUACUGUGUGAUUUGACUGCUCCUUAGUGGCCCCUACACGUACUCCCCCUACGUGUAUGCAACAGUCACACGUACACAUGGACGCAAAAACGCGCGCGACGUCCUAAUGCAUGCAUGUCCGAGCACAUGACGGAACACACACGGUCACGCUAAGUGCUCAGCCUACAUGUGCAUGCACACACAUACUCAGUCAGGGUGAGCUAGUGACCGUAUAAACACCGGAAUAUAUAUAUAUUGAGCACAAUGAGCGUAUUAUGAAGUCCACUGACCGUAUUUUUACAAAUAUACAGUGACAGACCGUGUAUUUAUCUCGUUUGAAAGUAAUCCAUAUUAACCGGAGAGGAGGCAGUAUGGACUAGCAUUACUUGCGCGCGGUGGCUCGCAGGACAAGGAGAAACUUUUGACUAAUGCAAGCUCUCCCUCGCUCAGGCGGUGGACGUGCAACAGUUAAUUCGAUGUCAGAUUGCCAGAAGCAUACACUAUACUACUAGUUCUACUAUUGUUCGACUUCCCGAAUAGGCGAACAACCAAGCGCAAAGUUUACUAAUAUAGUCUAUAUAGGUACGUACUAUACUAGUACUAGGAACCGGUUGGAGGAGCGUCUGCACUCUUAUUGUAAUUUUAAAAUGUGAUAAAGCAAUCUUCAACACAUUUGGUUAUCUUCGAGGGUUCUCGCAUGUGAUAAUGGAAGUUGAUUGCAUGGAACACUCGCCCCAAUUCUCGCUUAAUUCUGGCUCAUAUCCUGUUACAAAUAGUAGCGCUCGGUAAUAUUUCAUCUUUUUUUGUUAUUCAGCAUGUAAGCAGGUCAGCAAACCUUGCGGCGCAUCUUCGUGCGAACCGUGCUUGCUGCACUUUGAAUGUGGCCGAGAGCUGGCUUGAUGAAACACCUCGCUUCCUACUUCUUUUUUUACGGGGUACCUCGUUUCCUAGUGACCAGUGUCUUGGUUGAUCGUCCUAAGAAUGCUUAUAUAUGAAUAAAGCUCUCUCAUUUACCUGCAAAAGGGAUUGAGACAUAUUAACCAGAAAGGAGGGAGUAUGGACUAGCACUACUUUUUGGUGUGUCCCGUCAACUCGCGGAACGAGGAGAAGCUUGCAGGACAAGGUGAAGCUCUCUUACGCCUUUUGACUAAUGCAACCUACCCUCAGUCCAUUCGGUGUCAGAUUGUCAGAGGCAUACACUGUAGUACCCAACAUGAGGAGUACCAUCAUUGUUCAACUUCACGAAGAGGCAAAGAGCCAAGCGCAGUAGUACGAGUAGUACUACUACUAGAACCGCAUGGUGGAGCGUUUGUACUCGUAUUUCUUUUUAUCUCUGAUAAAGUACACGUUUAUUCCGGAGAAGGGCGGAAAACGGCAGCCCAACAUCAACUUGUAAUGAAUGAUAUCGAUCAACCAACCAUGCUCGAAUAUAUCUUGGCCUCCAUGCGAACCAGUUUGUGUGUUCUCGCUCCUCGUCUCUCUCAAGGAACGGCGGGUUGGCUCUUUGCCAUCAAUUGAGAUCGGUUUGCUCACACUCCUGUCCCACAUGUCAGUGACAUGCCAAGAGGAGGUGCGUUGACCGACUGGCCAUACGCGUACUUGGUUUUGAACCUUCAUACUACUCCUCCCUCCGUCACAGUUUACAGGGCGCGCUUCAUUAUGAUGCAUUUCUCUCAAUGCAUUUCCACCACCAGAGAGACUUUAGACGCGUUUGGUUUAAUGCUCAAUUAAUUAGGGCAUGGUAACCGCAAUCAAGUCCACAAUUUUCUCUCCAUGUAACUACGGAAUGGAGUAAGUGCAUGCAUGUGUGUACCUGGGGUGUUAGCACUGCAUGCAUGUGUGUACGCAUUAUUCUCUCUACUAGUAAUAGACGCCGUGCUAUAACUACCAAUGCUAUUUUUCAGGCCGAUCGCUAGUCGCCUUGGUCCCACAGAUCUUUUUUCUUUUUUCUGAAGCGCGUUGUAUAAACAGUGACAGAUGGAAUAGUAUGAGCUGAUUCAAAGAAGAGCGUAUUGAUGGUUGCUUCUUCAGAGCAACUUACAGUGCGAAAGGUGGGGCUUACGAUUUGACUGCUCAUUACUCACUAUUAAUGCGGCGGAACGACCGGGCUGAGUCUCCCAUGCGGUUGUGCCCUACCCCCUCGGUUCUUAAAUAUACUCCGGAGUAUGUUUGUCUUUCUAGAGAUUUCAACAAGUGACUACUCAAAUAUUUGUCUUUUUAGAGAUUUCAAAUGGUCUGGCACAUACAGAUGUAUAUACAUAUUUUAGAGUGUAGAUUCUCUCAUUUUGUUCCAUAUGUAGUCACUUGUUGAAAUCUCUAGAAAGACGAAUAUAAUAUUUAGGAACGGAGGGAGUACACAUAUGAAGCAAAAUGAGUGAAUCUACACUCUAAAAUAUGCCCGUUUGAAAUUUGUAAAAAGACAAAUAUUUAGGAAUGAAUGAGUAUAAUUUUGUGCAUGGCACAUGGACCCGGAUGAUGAAGAGGCUUCUGGCAAUGCUAUCAAGCUUCCAUCAUUUGUUUACAUAAUUGAGAUACUAUACAAAUAAUUUUCUAGCAAGACAUGAAAUUGUACAAUGGUGUGAGCUUUCAGCUUCUGUUUCGCGUGUCUUGCCAUUGAUGCUCUUUCGGAAACAAUAAAAAACUAACUUCCUUGCUAAUGCAUGUCAAUUAUUAGCACAUCAGAGCUAAUAAUUACAUCACAACUGAAGACAGAGUUGUGAGAAGGUGUUAAAUUAAAAUUUAUCCAUGCUUUCAUUGGCAGAAACGUCCCCCAGCUCUGUCUAAAUCAACAAGGCAUGUUGGGAAAAAAGUAGCUGUCUGGAGCAUGCAACAUUCCAAUCAUUUUGUGCAGUUCCACUAAAAUAGAGCUGAGCGUCCCUGUUCCAAAGAUAUUAAGUGUGAUUACGAUAAUAGAGGACUGCUGAUGAAACAAUAAACACAUAAAUAGAAGCCGGUCACCUUUGCAGUCUCUUUUAAGACUAACUAGUUGGAGAAGAUUAGGCUCGGAGUUGGAUGAGGAGGAUAGAGCAAAACCAAUCUCCCUUUGUGAAGUCGCACUGAAAUGUAGAGAUGUUGCCCAUGUGACAUUUUAGUAUAACUGCACAAAACACUCUUAAGAAAAAAGUGAUUUGUGCAGUUCACCAAAAGGUCACAAUAGCAACGAGGUGAAAUGGAUAGCCCUGUUUGCAAAAACGAGGUAGAAAGGAAACAAUUAUUGGCCAAUAAUAGUUGAUAACACAUGCGACGACAAAAAAGAAGCAUAUUCCUUGCCCUAAUGGAAGAUAACAACACGGUUGUGUUUGUCUAAAAUGGUGUGAGGACGAGAAUGCAAUAUGGAAAGUACGCUGGACGAGCUACGUUUUGGGCAAAGAACUAUAGAAGAUCCACAUGUAGCGACGUGGGAAGACGGCAGUGGAGCAAGGCCGGAGGGGAUACCUGGAGGUCGUCGGGAUGUAACUAGGUGAGCAGCGGCGGCCGGAAUCUGCGAGCACGUGGCGUAGGCCCUGCCGUGCCGGAGCUUGGUCAGAGAGAACGGCGUGUACCGCAGAUUGGGACGUGCUGCCUUGGUGCCGUUGAACGGAGAAACGAUGCACUUCCUCCCUUUCCCCCAGUGGACGGGAUGCGGCCGGAUCAGAACGGUGAGAAAGAGAGAGAGAGGCCACUGCACUCCCUUUCCCCCGGCGGAUGGGAUGCGACUGGAUCAGUGACCAACGAUGAGAGAGAGAGAGGCCACCGCAGCCUUGUGUGACAUACUCUGAAGAUCGACAAACCAGGCACGCAAGGCUCCAUUGUAUAUAGUGAGAGGACUACCUUUUUCUCCAUAAAAAUCAUUUUAUAUUCUGUGUACGUGCCAUUGAGCGCUAUAACUUUAUUUAAAAAUAACGCGGCAACGCGUCAAGUCGAACUUUGUUUCGUGCAUGCGUGGUACACGACCUCCCUAGGUAAACAACCGCUACAGGCGUUCAAAUUAGCACGUGGGCUACCAUUUCGUAAAUAAAUGAGCUCCACCGUGUACCCGCGCGGGUGUGGCUGGGCACGAAGCAUGAGUACGUGCACGGUGCACCUAUUCUCUUCUUGUAUACGUACACCACCUACGUGGGGUUGUGUGAGAGAGAUACAAACCUAGAGAGAUAUAGUGUGUGGGUUCUUGAGAGUUUUUUUUGAGGGGGGAGUUCAAUCAAAAAAUGUAACAUACACAAUGUGUGUGAAAUAGAGUCCUGGAUAUAACAUAUAUAUAGAGGGGGUGAUCCACGAGAAGAGAGUGGAGGUAUCACCGGCUUGAGGUGUCCAUAGAAUCGAAAAGAGGGAUGAUGUGUGUGUGUGUGCACACGCGAUCGAUAAAGAGUGCCAUCGAAUUUGUGUGUGCCCACGUCAAAGAUAUAGAGUGGCUGGCCUACUGGAACGUGAGAGGGGACAUGUGCAGUUUGUCUCUAUGGCAUGGAUACCUACCUGCAGCGCUCGACUAUCGGUGUGUGGUGGGGGAAGAGGGAGGCCCAAUUAACUAUAGAGGUACAAUGGCUGGUAUAUGUGUGUAGGAGGAGAGAGGCCUACCUCAUGUAUUAAGGAGAUCGAUCUGCCUCAUGUAUUAAGGGAGAUGGAUCGGCAUCCAUGCAUAUGUUGGAGGGGGUGGUAGUGGAGUUGCUUCUAACAAGUGGUGGGAUAGGCUUGCUAGACAAACGGAGGGCACGCCCGCAAUAUCAAUAAGAGAUGAGAUGUCUGCUUGUUGUCUGUGCACGUGCGUGUGAGAGACGGGUCAGGAGGCAUGCACGAAUGAUGAGGGGGGACGAUGUGGCUGUGGUAAGCAGACAUAACUACAUAGGAAGAUCAAUCGCCCUUUGUUAGAGAAAGGAGAGACAUAACUUGUGAAGUACGUCGAUCGAUGGGGGGGUAGUUAAAGUCGAUCCAGGUAUAUGUUGGGAGAUCGAUCGGUAUACAUGCAUGUGUGUGUUAGAAGCAAACGAGGCACGAGGAGAAGGAUAGAUAUAGAGGGAUGCAUGUAGGAGGUGGUACGAGAGGCAUACUAUAUCGAGCGGGGAGGAGUGUGCGAGUACGAGAACAAUGAAAAGAGUGGUGGGAGUGAGGCAUGGACGGUGACAAGAGAAGAGGGGAAGCUUGUGUUUGUGCUAGGCACACCUGGCUAGAGAGGCAUAUCGAUCGAUGUGUGCCGUAAAGAAGGAGCUAGGGGGCCUACACACACCAUGGGGUGAACGACCUAAAGUGAAAAGAUGAAUUUGCACGAUGGAGCUAGAGAAUGCUGAGGGAGGGUGAGAGGGACGCGGGCGUGUGCAUGCACAAGAGAAAGUUAGCGCUAGCUACAAAAAUAAGAGGGUUGUGUGGGUGUAAAAGACGAAUAGAGAUCAUAUAUACUUCAUUAUAAAAAGCGAAUUCGGAUAUUUGAAGAAUUUAUCAAAGUGUUUUAAACCGACGUAUGUGUGAAUAUAUAUAACGGUGAUACACAUGGUGUGUUUAUGAACAUGUUAUACUACAUUUAAUAUAUUUUAUCUCUACUCUUAUAAAAAACGGAGUUGUUGAUGAUGGUGUGCCUGCCAUCCUGCAUUAUAGGUCGUCCGAUUUAUAUCUAGCGGAUAGCAAGGAAACUAUGAUGGUUGAAGUUGGCAACAACCAUGAUCGUGGAUUCUUAUUGAAAUAGAGAAACAAAUUCAAAUUUAGUUCGAAUUGCAGCGGUAGUAUAGACAUUUGGAAUGCACUAAAUAGUUUGGUAUGAGUAGGUUACAUGCAUUAUAUAGCAAAGCGAAAAAAAUUAAUCGGACAUAACAUGGAUUCAUACUCCCUCCUUCCAUCUAUAUAGGGUGUAAUGAUAUUUUUAAGACCUCCUUUGACUAUUGACAAGAUUAAUAGUACAUGACAUGCACAAUGUGAAAAUUAUAUCAUUGAAAGAACCUUUCACAGAUGAAGUUAACGGUGUGCUUUGUGUAAGUUCCAUGUCAUAUAUCAUUGCUCUAAUAUUUGGUCAAAGUUAGCAUCGAAAAACGCAUUAGGCCCUAUAUAGAUGGAAGGAGGGAGUAGCUUUGAAUAGCAUUUGUAUAGCAAAACGGGGCAAGACUCUCUCUUUGUGUGGUGUGAAUAGUUUUAUUUUUUCGUUUUCUUUUUGGUUGAGGGAAGUGUGAGUUGAUUUGGUACGUACAAGUACAAUAUUACUACAUGUUAGGCUUGUCCCUAAAAUUCAACCCGCGUCUUGUUAUAUCCCGAAAAUUCAGAUAUCGUGCUCCCGAAACUGGCGCCUUCACAACCUGCGCCUUGCUAUCCCGAAAUUACAAUGCGCACGAAAACUCCCUCCAGCUGCCAAAUCCCGACACGCGAAAUCCCCCUUCUAACCCUGAGCCGAAAGGGCCGCUAGUUCAAAUCAGUGGGGGGGUACUUUUGUAGCACACCCUACAUUUUGGACAAGCGCGUCCCUAAGUAAUGCUUCACCCCCUCCCAUCGCCCGCUUUUCGCCAUUCGAAAUCCCAGGCCACCAUAACCUCUCCGCUCCAGCCAUGAAACCCCACCCUCCUCCGUCCGCCACGUCACCGCUGCCCAGCCGGAGCCUCUUCCCCGACGACGUCAUUCACCGCAACAGCUCGAUGUCCCUCGUGCACCUCCCCGAAUGAGGAUCCGUCGUCCAUCUCGCCGUCCCGCCGGAUCAGCCGCCCCGUCCUCCACCUCCAAGGAGCUGCCCCGACAAUCACCUCGUAUAUCGCAGCUACUUCAUCCCCGCAGCACCGCCUUAACCUGCUCCACCGGAACCGCAGCAUCCUCACCAACUCCUCGGACGAAGCUGAGGCCUACUCGGCGCCACCAAAGAGGUUGUACACUCAUCGCAUUGCACCUUCUCCUUAACUCGACCUCCCGGCGCCGACGGUGCUCCAUACCGCACCGCCAUGGAGCGGCUACCUUGAAGCCGGCGCCGCGGGCGACAUCUCCACGGCGGCUCUCCCCCAGUGCGAAGCCCCUUCGGCGACGGCGUCCAUACCAGCCGGAUCUGCUGCUGCUGCUCCGGCUCUCGCUCGCUCACUCGCGCUGCUGCUGCUGCUCCGGCUCUCGCUCGCUCGCUCGCGCUGCUGCUACUGCUCCGGCUCUCGCUCGGUCGCUCGCUCGCCCAGCUGCUGCUGCUGCUCUCCCCCUCUCUCGUGCUGCUGCUCUGCUCCGAUUAAGCCACACUUCAGUCGACUGAAUUGACUUUUGGGUCAGUCGAUUUUCAGGGGUUGGGGGGGAGGGCUCGCCGGAGUUAAGGAAGAACCACCCGCCGGAGAAGUACAGUCUGGUUCGGGGGGCCUGCCGGAGAGGUACCCCACUAUCUAUCUUAGGGUUCAUGGUGGAGGGGGGGCCUAGAGGGCUGGCCGGGGUGUCGGUGGCGAGUUGUUUCGGGGCGGCGAGGCGGCGCUUGAGCCGGCGGCGAGGCCGGUGGUGGCAGGCGGCUCAGGGGUGUGCAGGUUGAAGAUGAACUGCAGGCCCUCCCUAAACUACAUGUCAAGUGUCUCUCUGCUACCAUUGCAUUCAGUCUCGACAUUAGCAUUCAGAUUCCACAGUUAAUUUCAGUUUCGACAGUUAAGUUCAGAGUCAACAGUUUUUACCUCAUCUAUUGUAGUCAGGUGGUUUUUGGUGAUGUUAAUUUUACAUCCAUUUUUCAUCAUCUAUUGGAGAUGCUAUUAGAAUCCCACUUGAGAUUGACGAUGUCUGUCUUGUGUUGCUUCAGCAUUGACCUCUUACGGCUCACUGGAGCUGCUCCAACGACAGAACGAUCCAUCACAACAGAGCAGUGCCCUAGACGCCGUCUACAGAUUCCUCAGAUCUUCCUCCACACCUCCGACAGCCACCUCUGCCUCAACUGCUUCAGCGACCAACCCAAUGAUGCUGAGGUCGACACGGCUACGGCAAAGAGGUUGUACACUUGUUGUGUUAGUUAUUACUAUACAUUCACGUCGAUCCAUUAGGGUUAUUUUGGUUCAACGGAAAAACGUUGAUCCACUGGUUGUUACCAUCACUCUAAAUUUCUGCAUGCUCUCCUUACAUAAUCUCACCAUAUUUUUUUCGUAUGCAUGUCAGAUAUUCUACACAGUCAUGCUGAACAUGUAGAGAAAAAGAGAAGAGUUUUGCGCGGCAAUACAAUGUCAUGCAGACAUUGCUCCAUGGUGGGUUCAAUGGCAAACCCUCCCCACCCCUCUCCAGAUUGUAAUCCAGAGGAAGAUAUCUGUUCUGAGGCGUAUUCAGACACCGCUGACCACUCCUAUUUACCCGCCAAGGUGUUUGCUCUACCUUGGCAUGAUGAUGUUAGUCAUAUCAUGCAUAUGUUGCCUUGCAGUGCCUACUUUUGACAUCAUAUAUGUCAUCUGCUUAGUUUAGACAUGUUCUGUAAUGCCACCUAUUUAGUUUCUAUAUCAUAUAUGGGAAUUAUGCAGUCUCAUGUCUUUUAGCCAGCCAUAAUAUAUGUGAAAUGUGCAAUGCCAUCCUGUUUAACCAGGCAUCAUAUAUUUGAAUGAUAUCUUGCCCAUCCUUUUCUUCAUUACAUUUCCAUUUGUCGACAAUGUUUGUACAUUAAACUACUUUUCCUGUGAAUCGGCCAUUUGGGUGGGAGAUGGAAAAAUCUGGAGUGAAAACAAGGCCUUCAGAGCAGACAGUGCUACCUGUCGAAGCAGAUCUCUUGUUGGGUCCCGAUAGCUCCUCAGAGAUGGAUUUAGAGACAGAUGACCAGUCUUAUUCCCCCACUGAGGUGUAUGCUCUAACUUGGCAUGGUUAUACUACUGAUAUCAUGCAUACGGUGUCUUGCAUUGCAUAGUUUAGACAUCAUAUACACAAUAUUCAACACCAUGUUCUUAGUUCAGACAUCAUAUCGAAUGCCCUCUAUUUAGCAUAUAAAUCACAUAUGUGAAUUAAAUGAUGCGAUCCUGAUUACUUAGAUAACAUGUAGGUGAAUUAGGUCAUGCGAUCCUGUUUAGUUAUUCAUCAUAUCUUUGAAUUAUGUUAUGCUAUGCUAUCAAGUUUAGAUAGACAUCAUAUAUGUGAAAUUAUGUCAUGCUAUCCGUUUUAGUUAAACAAUAUCAUGUCAACUAUUUCAUGCCCUCUUUUUUCCACAGUAUCUAUUGCAUCCGUCUCAUACAAUGUCUGUACAUUCAACUAUGUUUCCUGUUUAUCAGCCAUUUGAAUUGGAGUGGGUGAUGCCAGUAUCUAGCGGAAUAAAAACACGGUCUUCAAUUAAAACAGUGCUACCUCUUGGUGGAGAUAGACCCUGGUUGUACAUGCACAAGAACCAGCCCUACCACACAUAACCCAAACUCUCGCAGAUUGUACCCCUACUGCGAUGGACAGAGAACCAGCUUCACCCAAUCUAACCCCAACCCCAGCCGAUAGUAACCCAGUUCCUGUUGACACAGCACCAUCUCCACCACAGAGCUCCCAAACAACAGCAGUUAGUAAGGCAGCUCCAGUGCCCAAAGGGCCAGUACUAUCACGGCGAACCCCAACUCCACCAGUUAGUACGCCUAUUCCUGUGGAGGAAGCACAACCAGCCAGUCGUAGUUUAGCAUCUAUCGCAUUUGAUGUUGUUAAAUCGUAUGUGCGUAUCUUCCCAUCUUGGAAAUAUUAUACUGAAGAUGAAGGAAAAUGCCAGUUGCAGGUGUUUGUCCAGGAGUUAUGUGUAAGUAAUGUUAUUCAUGGCAAUUACUUUGCUUCGUCCCAUAAAUCCUACCUCCAUGGUGGUUAUAAUACAACCAAUUUUCCCAUUUUUCUCUAUAGAGAAGGACCGAUUUUGAAACUCAGGAUGAGGUACCCUGUGCUAAUACCUCUGCUAUCUUCAAGAAUGCUUGGUGGCAGUAUCGGAAUUACCUGAAGAAAACGUACUUCACCGGCAAAGAAACUCAUCAAAUUCCCUUACAUUCUCCUGAGACACAUUUACUGGAGGAUGACUGGGAACGCCUUGUUCUGUACUGGUCCCGAACCAAGAAUGUGGUAAGGUCUAUGAGCUCAUUUUCUAUUUUAAGUAUUUUAUUCUUGCAUCUUACUGUACUCUGUUCAUGCAGAACAAGUGCCUAAACCUGAAGAACAACUGUUCUAAUUUAAGAUUCCAUUGCUAUCAUAGUUCGAAAAAGCGCUAGGCAUUAAUUGUGCGUUUUGCCACCGCCUUGCGCUUUACUGACCAAAGCGCAUGCUUAUGCGUAGUUAUGCACAGAUUAUGCAUAGUUAUGCGCAAUGCGUUUUGCCAACGCCUAGAGCCUAGGCGCGCUUAAGCGCUCGCUUAGGCGCGCCUUUUUUAACUAUGAUUGCAUUGCUCUUGUAUCACUGUAUUUACUGAUACGAACUUAUUUUUAAAUUGAAGGAUCCAAUCGAAACUCCAAUGGCACAACAGGUAUGUUCAUGCAUGUUUCUUUAACAGGUUUGCUCUUAUCAAUAGCUCUGUUGAUUUCAAUUUCAAUUGUGUAUAUAGUUGAGUUUCAAAUCAUGCACAUUACUAGCAUCACAACAGAGCCAAUAGUGUUGUUGUACAUGUAGACCCGUGGUACCCAUCUGAAAUCUUGUUGUGCCGUGUAGUUUCCCACGCUUUGUAUUCUUUCACUGCUGCUUUGUCUUGAACUGAUAUGAUUUGAACCGUGUCUCUAUUUUGAUUUGGCAAGACAAUGAAGUGACCAUAGGACAUAGAUAUAUGUUUUGAUGCUUUUAUUAUGUACUAGUACUUGGCAGUAGAAGACUUGGUAGUUUAAUCCUGUCCACCUUACUAAUGAACUGGUUCACCGAAAUGAGUUUCAUAUACUAGUACAUGCUAAACUUGUUAUGUGUCUGCUUGUUUCUUCUUUUAGAAUGCUGACAGAAUAUUGGGGAAGAGUGCCUUAUUAAGAAAUGGUAAAGGAAGUAAUGCAGAUAAGGUUCAGGAUAGUGACACAUCCUUGUUGGUCUCCAACAAAGCUGAUAAAACAGCUAAGGAAGACUAUCUUGAAGAUAGCGAGACAACCCCAAAGUCCUGUCUUGGUUUAGUGUUCGAGUUACUGGCCACUACCGCAUGCACAAGCUAUUCAAACUCACUGUCUGAAUCAGUUCAGUUUCUUGAGUCUCAACUACAAGCUGAAAGACAUCGAUCAGCUGUGCUGCGACAAGAAGCGAAAGGACUGCGGAAGUCCCUGGAGCAUUCAGAUGCAUACUUACUGGUGCAACAGCAAGCGUUGGAGGAUUUUAGCGCCAAACAGGACAAAGCUAAUCAGCUUGCUAAGCUUAUUGCCAGCAUGGUGGAUACCCAGGAAAACAUUUCUUGAGCUCUUCCGAAGUUGUUUCAGUUAUGCUCUUGUUUUGCUGCCGCAUUUAUUUGCACUGGUGGCCAAUUUUGACGGCCAAGUGUAUGUAAUAUGAUGCUUUGUUCCCUAUAUUUGCACUGCUGGCGAACUUUGAUGCCCAGUGGAUGUAAUAUGUGUAAUAGCGGUAAUAUGCUAGCCUUAAUUGCUUGCUUAUUUAUUUCCUUAUUUUCUUGUUUAGUUGUUUGCUUGUAGUCACUGCAGUUCUUUUUCUGUGUUUUUCUAGUGGCGACAAUAGCCUAUUUUUUGUAACUAGGCUAUAAGUGCAUCUAGUGCCCCUUAGUGAUUUUGGUGUAUCGAAGACUUAUAGGUUAAGGGACUAAUGUGUUUAUGAGUGUCCACAGGUCUAUAAGUCUAUGAGGAGUUUGAUAUUUACAGAGAAAGUCCACCCCUAAAAAUGAAGUUCUUCGACUGAAGACUUUGAUAUUCUGAAGACUCUCUGAAGACUUUGAAAGUGAAGAAAUUGGUGUGACCUUGAAGACUUGGUAUUCAAUUGAGGAACAUGAAGCGUGAAGACUUUUGUUUUUGUAGUUUCAUUUUCUCUUUCUUGAGUCAUAGGAAACACCGUACUGUUAAAGGAGGUCGAGGAAAUACUAAGGAAAAAUUUCCAUGUGAUGCUCAACUCAAAAUCCUACACCUACCAAUCCCUUCAAGUGAAGCCUUUGGAAAUCUCAUACAGUUCAGUCAAUUUCUUCAGUGACAGAGACGAAGUUCUUCUGGUUGCUAAGGAAUUUGUUCUGACUGAGGAGUUAGGAAUUCGCCAGUGCGGAUUGCCUACACAGUGAGGAACAUGAUAGCCCUGAGGAAUUUGAGAGUCAAAUUUCCGACCGUUGCUGUGCUGCGCGCCAGCUGUCCCAAAAUAUCUUAUCCACCUAACGGUCAUAUCAUUGAAGGGCAUUUAUGUCUUAUCAUGUUGGGCUGCUCCCUAGGCUAUAAAUAGCCGCCCCCUACAACCACUAGCUGGUUGGCUGCUUCGAGAGAACCUGACACUUGUCAUUUGAGAGCAACCCAUCCUCCGAGGACUUUGAGUGAAAAUCAUCGAGUGAGGAAAAACCCAAAAACCAAACCCCUACAAACCCAAAGUGAUUGAGCAUCACUAAAGAGAUUGAUCCUGCGUGGAUCCAACACUUGUUACCUUUGAAGAUUGUGCUUCUUCGAGACGGUUAGGCGUCAUGGUCUAGAGCAUCCAAGAGGAAUUGUGGAUCGCCGAGUGACCAAGUCUGUGAAGGUUUGGAAGUCGCCUGAAGACUUACCACGAGUGAUUGGAGGAGGUCUGUCUGACCUUAGUUCAAGGAGAAUACGGUGAGGACUUGGUGUCCUGAGCUGCGUUCUCAGCGACUGGGUGUCCGAGACUGUGUGUCCUCGAGUUUAAAUACUCAGCCGCUCCAACCAGAUGUACAACUGAGACAACAGUUGGAACUGGUCUACCAAAUCAUUGUCUUCACCAACCUUCCUGGUUCUAUUCCCUCAACUCUUUCAUUUCCUCAUUACUGUAUUGAGUGAUUGUUUGUAUCUGUGUUUGAAGACUUUGACUGAAGACUUUCUCAAUUUCCUCAGUUCAAUUUCUUCAGUCUACUUGUCUUCAUCUUGUGUUAUCCUGUGACUACACUUUCUGUACUCUGUGUUUGUCUUCAUUUCAUCAUGAUGACUAAGCCUGCAUUCUGUUAUGCUUACUUCUGAGUACUUAUUCUGCUGCAAGUAGUUCUUCGCUAAGGAAUUUCCUCACCGGCAAAUUCCUCAGUGAAGAAUUCUUAAAAAUCGCCUAUUCACCCCCCUCUAGUCGAUAUAACGUACUUUCAAUUGGUAUCAGAGCAAGGUACUCCCUUUUUCUGUGUGAUUUUGGUUUAACCACCUUGAGUUUUAGUUAUGUCGACCGCAGGUAUGAAGAAAGUGACAUGCCCUAUCUUUGACGGUCAUGAUUAUCCCAAGUGGAAGGCCAUGAUGAGGAAGCGCCUCAUGGCAAUGGACAGCGAGCUGUAGACCGUCACUGAAAUUGGUCUUACUGAUCUGUGCAAGUCGGCAAACGCAGAUGAUAUUCGCAAGUACACUCGACUUGACAUCAUGGCGAAGGACAUCAUCUGUUCCUGCCUAUCCAGAGAUGAAUUCAAGCGCAUUAUGCAUCUUUGCAAUGCGAAGCUUAUCUGAGACCGAAUCUCUGAUGUCUAUGAAGGUCAUCGAACCCGUCAUGAUCCUUGGUUUGAGGACUUCAAGGAAUCUCUCAAAACGAUGACUUUCGAACCAGAAUCAUCAUCUUCUGCAUCAUGUCUCAUGGCAAAGGGUGACAAGGUAACCGAAUGUUCCUCAUCCGAGUAUAGUGACGAUGAAUCUGAUGAUGAUGGAUCUGAUGAUGAUAUUGAACCGAGCUAUACCAAGCUUGUUUGUAUUGCCACCAAACAACAACAUGCCUUGGAAAAGGUUCAAAACAUGUUAGGUAAAAGUGAUGAUAUGUUAGGUGAAGAAAUGGAUCGCACUAAUGCCCUGACUGAAAAUCUUCAGAGACUUCAGUCUAGGUUUGACAGCCUUCAAGGUCAUCAUAACACUCUCUUGACUGAUCAUGAGAAACUUUCUUAUGAAUUUCUUCAAAGAAAGCAAGAUCUUGAGAAGCUAAGAGUGAGUUAUGAAGAUCUUCAGAAGGAGCGCGAUUCAUUACUUGCUCAACAAAUCAGAGCUUCUCAGGAAGAAUCUGUUCCUCCAUGCUUAAAGUGCAUUGAACGUGAAUCUGCUAAUUCUUCACCUGAAUGUUCAAAUGCUUCAACUGUUACAAAUUCUUCACCUGCUCCUGCUAUCACUAAUUCCUCAUCUGAGGACAUUGGUAGUAUCACUGACGAUGCAGGGCUGAAGGAAUUGUACAUGACAGGCAUGUACAAAAGCCUCAAAGGGCAUCAGACUCUUUGUGAUGUGCUUAAAAAGCAGAUCCUCAAAAGGAAUCCUAGGAAAGAGGGUAUUGCCUUUGAGAGGAAACUCAAUGCUGAUGGAACAUAUUGGAAGCCUGAGCAGUACCCCAAAACCUCAUGGGUUGCUGCAAAGGGACCUCCAGUUGAUCCAUCUAACUUAUCUGGCUUUACAUGUUUAUCUCCUCAUUCUUCUGAUGAGUCAUUUGACUCCAACUAUAAACUGUUCAAAAAUCAGAACGGUGAAGUAUUUGCUAGAUAUGUUGGCACUAACUGCAGGAACGGUUCCCCUAUGAAGAAAAUCUGGGUUCCCAAGAAGUGCGUUGAAAGUCUUCAGGUGAAUGUCCUCAUGACACCACCUGUGAAGAAUAGGAACCCCAGAUCAAACUCUUCAUAUGGACCAAAUUCUUCAUAUGGAUCCAAGUCCUCAUACGGACCAAAUUCCUCACGUGGAUGAAACUCCUCAAAAUAAUCAAAGUCCUCAUAUGAUUAUCAUCGUGCUAACAACUCUAUUUCGCAGGGUAGAGCUAAGGGCUAUGAAUAUGUGCAUUAUUCUUCAAACCAAUAUGUUCAUAAGUCCUCGAAGAAUUUCUCUGCUUAUUCAUAUGCUUACCCUAACCCCUCUUAUGUGAAACAAAAUGGAUUUGCCUCUAUGCCACCAUUCUCAUAUGGAUCUCGUAGAGUGAUGAACUCUUUGCCACCCCUUCAGAUGUGGGUGGUGAAGAAAAGGAACUAAUCUCUUCUGCAGGGUCAGGUCUCCAGACGUGCUUUAAUGUCUGAAGAAUUUGCUGGCCUGACAAAAAUGCCUGAAAGGACGCAGGCUAAUCAUGAAGAAAUGAACUUUCAUUUCACACGUCCUCAUACUGCUUAUCUGUUAUACUGCCUGAUGAAAUUCAUCUAAUGAAAUUGAUAUCAUAUUCUUCACUGAUGAAGUAUAUGAGAUCGUAAGUUGCACUAAUUCAUCUACAGGAUGAUCAACCCAAAGCCAAUGAGUGGGUUCUCGAUAGUGGAUGUACAAAUCACAUGACUGGUGACAAGAAUCUAUUGAUGGAUGCUCCCUUAUCACUGUCACAUCUGAAGCAUAUCAUCUUUGCUGACAAAGGCAAAAGUCAGGUAUUGGGUCUUGGUAAGAUUGCGAUCUCUAAGGACAUACACAUGGACAAAGUCAUGCUUGUUGAGUCCUUAGGAUACAACCUCAUGUCAGUCUCAAUGCUUUUGUUGUCUUUGGCAAGUAUCAUUGUGUUGUGAUCAUGGAAGCUGACAAUUCCAAAGUAUUCAAAGGCUUUAGGAGAGGAGACUUGUAUAUUGUUGAUUUCUCUAUAGGACCACAACCAGCCGUGUGUCUACUUGCAAAAGCUUCAGAAGGCUGGCUAUGGCAUCGACGACUUGGUCAUGCAGGCAUGAGGAAUUUGCACACGCUUGUGAAGAAGAAGCAUGUCAUUGGCAUUGAGAAUGUCAAAUUCCUCAAGGAUCACUUGUGUGGAGCCUAUGAAGCUGGAAAAAUGACCAAGGCCAAGCAUUCAGCGAAGACUAUCAUGACCACUACUCGACCAUUCGAAUUGCUUCACAUGGACCUCUUUGGUCCUAAUCAUUACUCAGCAGUCACUAAUGAUGCAUCUCUAUAUGGCUUUGUUAUUGUUGAUGAUUAUUCUCGUUACACAUGGGUACGCAUUGUUACUUACAAGCAUGAAGUGCAGGAAGUCUUCAAACGAUUUUCCUCGAGGGCUUCAACCAACUUUGGUGUGAAGAUCAAGCACAUCAGGAGUGACAAUGGAACUGAGUUCAAGAAUUCCGGUCUUGAUGACUAUCGUGAUGAACUUGGUAUUACUCAUGAGUUAUCUGCUCCUUAUACUCCUGAGCAAAAUGGCGUCAUGGAGCGCAAGAACAGAACUCUUGUUGAGAUGGCGUGCACUAUGCUUGAUGAAUACAAAACACCUCGUCAUUUUUGGAUUGAUGCAAUUGAUACCGCGUGCCACAUCAUCAACAAAGUAUAUCUUCACAAAUUCUUCAAAAACACUGCCUAUGAACUCCUCAGUGACAAGAAACCCAAUGUGAGUUAUUUCAAAGUCUUCAAUGCUAAAUGUUGGAUUAGAGAUCCUCAUCACAAUUCUAAAUUUGCACCGAAAGCACAUGAGGGUUUUAUGCUUGGUUACAAAAAGGACUCGCACACCUACAAAGUCUUCAACAAUGUUCUUUAUAAGAUUGUUGAAACUGUAGAUGUGCGGUUCGAUGAAACUAAUGGCUCGCAAAGAGAGCACCUGCCUUCUGUUAUAGAUGAACCAAUGCCUGAGGAGUCUAUCAAGUUCAAGGCGACUAAGGAUGUCAUUCCUACUGAAGAAUCUGCUGAAGAAUUCAUUCCAGAAUGCGAAGAACGUCGAGCUGAUGCUCCUGAGGAUAAUGCUGAAGAAAAUGGUGCUAAAGAAAAUGCCGAUCAAAUUCCUCGACGACAACCAGCUCAUCCUCGCGUUGCAAAAGAAGUGCAAGUUGACAAGAUCAUCGAUGACAUUGAAGCACCAGGUCCUCUCACAUGCUCAAAAGCUUCACAUUUAUCUAACUUUUGUGGGCACUAUGCUUUUGUCUCUAUCACAGAGCCCACUAAGGUAGAUGAAGCAUUUCUGGAGCCUGAGUGGAUUCAGGCAAUGCAAGAAGAAUUACAUCAAUUAGAGCUCAACAAUGUCUGGGAACUGGUCAAACGUCCAGAUCCUCGCCAGCAUAAUAUCAUUGGCACAAAGUGGAUCUACCGCAACAAGCAAGAUGAAAAUGGCCUUGUGGUGAGGAAUAAGGCACGACUUGUAGCUCAAGGCUACACACAGGUUGAAGGAAUUGAUUUCGAUGAAACUUUUGCACCUGUUGCUAGACUUGAGGCUAUUCGCAUAUUACUUGCUUAUGCUAACCAUCAUAAUAUCAUUUUAUAUCAAAUGGAUGUGAAAAGUGCAUUCCUCAAUGGUAAGCCUGAGGAAGAAUUAUAUGUUGCUCAACCCCUAGGUUUUGAAGAUCCAAAGAAUCCCGACAAAGUCUUCAUACUCAACAAGGCCCUCUAUGGCCUCAAACAGGCCCCACGGGUGUGGUAUGAUACAUUGAAGUAAUUCUUCAUGAAGAAUGGCUUCACACCCGGUUCACUCGACCCUACUCUCUUUACUAAAUCAUAUGAUGGUGAACUGUUUGUGUGCCAAAUAUAUGUUGAUGAUAUUAUUUUUGGCUGUACUGACCAACGUUAUAGUGAUGAAUUUGCCUAUAUGAUGAGUGAAGAAUAUCAAAUGUCUAUGAUGGGAGAAUUGAAAUUAUUCUUAGGUCUUCAAAUUCGUCAACAACACAAUGGCAUAUUCAUAUGUCAGGAGAAAUACCUCAAAGUUGUUCUGAAGAAAUUUGGCAUGCAAGAUUGCAAAGGCGUCAAAAUUCCUAUGCCCACAAAUGGCCAUCUAUGCACUGAUGAAAAUGGUAUUGACUUCGAUCACAAGGUAUACCGCUCCAUGAUUGGUUCUCUAUUGUACUUAUGUGCAUCUAGGCUAGAUAUAAUGCUUAGUGUUUGCAUGUCUGCCUGAUUUCAAGCUACACCGAAGGAAUCACACCAUAAGGCUGUGAAGCAUAUUCUUCGAUAUCUAGCUCACACACCAACACUAGGAUUAUGGUACCCCAAGGGCUCUACGUUUGAUCUCAUCGGAUAUUCUGACUCUGACUAUGUUGGUGAUCAUGUGGACCGCAAGUCAACAUCUGGUACUUGUCAUUUCCUCCGACGAUCUUUGGUCUGUUGGUCCUCGAAGAAACAGAACUGCGUAUCACUGUCUACUGCGGAAGCUGAUUACAUUGCUGCUGGCUCUUGUUGUGCUCAAUUGCUGUGGAUGAAGCAAACUCUCAAGGACUACGACAUCAACGUGAAGAAUGUGCCUCUCUACUGUGACAAUGAGGGUGCCAUCAAGAUUGCUCACAACCCAGUUCAGCACUCUAAGACAAAGCACAUUCAGAUUCGUCAUCAUUUUCUUCGUGAUCAUGUGUUGAAGGGCGACAUCUCCAUCGAGCAUGUGAAGACUGAAGAACAGCUGGCCGAUAUCUUCACAAAGACCUUGGAUGAGAAGAGAUUUAGCAAGUUGCGGUGUGAGCUAAAUAUCUUAGAAUCUUCGAAUGUUCUUUGAAAAGGACACACAUCCUGACACUUAUGCAAAAUUGAUGACUUAGAUGUGCAACAGUCUAAGUGUGAAGAAAUUAAUGAAGAAUUUGAUUCUCAGAACCCUACGACAAUUGUACGUGGUGUCUGAAAUCAUCAUUCUUAUACGGUGGGUCACGCCACCACCAAAGUUGAAAAUCUUCACUGUGUCCUUGUUAGCUGAAGAAAUUGCGAACGGAACUUUUAACUUAUCUUAUCCAAAUUUUCGGCUUUGCCUCUCAAACCAAUCCGCAUCCCAUGAUAAACUUAUCUAUUCACCCAUGAUCUAACACGAUCUCCACCUUUCAGUCGUGGGUGACACAUGUCAAGCGAAUGAGAAGGGCCAGGGGCACGUUUGUCCAAAAUCUUCGGGCGAACGGUUUUUCACAGUGGCUAUAUAUACCCCCUCUCCCCUUCCUCACUUCCUUUACUCCGCUCGACCGCUCACUCUCUCGCUCGAGCUUCUCAAACCCUAGCGCCGCCGCUACUCCAUCGUCGCCGGUGAGGAAGAGCUUCACUGCCUCGACCUCGUCACCGUCGUACUCGCGCCGACCGCGGAAAUCUUCACUCCGCCGCCGCCGUAGUUGUCUUCCUCCACCGAGUUAGGGCGUGGGAGAUCUGAACUGACGAACUUCUAAUCUACACUUAUCAGUUCGUCGUGUUCUUCAGUUCGGGUAAUUAAAAGUUACUUUUAUUACUCGCUUUGAUUCUCAAACCUUCCUGAAAAUCUUCAAAGGUGUUUAUUCUUCAAAUCUUCACAAAUAUGAACAUGUCAAACGAAAUAUGCUCUUGAUUCCUCUCUCUAAGCAAUGAUUUUUCUUCAAGAUUCCUCAAUUGUGUGGAUCCUCGAUCUAUACAACUCUGGAAUCUAAGACAAAGAUCGCUUAGUGAAAUUCUUCAAGGCUCAUCUGGUCAAAUUCCUCAAACUAGUUCUUUUUGAAAAACCUUCUGAGAACGCAUAUGACCUCUCCAAAUUCCUCGCAACUAUUCUCUGUUCACAGGUACUCAUGUCCGCUGCUGAAUCACUAGGUUCUCAUCAACUUAACUCAUUUGUAGCGUUCCUCGAAGAAAAGUUGCAUACUUCUUCAGAGAAUUCGAUUGUUCAAAUUCCUCAGCUGAAGAAUAUGGCAGAAGGAAAGAAGCCACAGAAAGGAGGAAAGAGGCCUGAGGUAAUGACUGCUUUCGAGAUACAUGAGGACAUAUACGCUGACUAUUGCACACCUGAUGAAUCCAAGUUUGGCAAGGAAAACAAAAAUCAGCGCAAGGUGCGCAUUCAUAGGAUUGAAAGGAGAUGGGCAAGGGAAUGGAGGGAGUAUAGAUAUGUUACUCCAAAGUACAUGAAGAAAUUCACACUGAAUCCUCCAUGCCCAAGAGAUCCAUUGGCACCUGGCCAAGAGCUGACCCCACCAGCUUCAAGCGUGGUGAGGACUUUCUUGAAGAAUGGGCCAAGCGCCAAGCCAAGUUGGCGAGACAAGCCAAAGAAGCAGUGAGGAAAUUCAAUGAAGACUCUUCUACUGCUGCUGCCACUGAGGCCCCUGUUCAGCCCAUAAGAUCAAUGGCAAAGAAGCCAGCGCACAAGCCAAGUGCUUCACCAACAGUGCCCUCACGGCCAAAAUCCUCAGCAAUGCCCUCACGGCCAGAAUCUUCAAUGCCCUCACAGCCAGUUCCUCAUGCUGCUUGUCGGUGUCAAAACCGGCGGAUCUUGGGUAGGGGGUCCCGAACUGUGCGUCUAGGCGGAUGGUAACAGGAGACGAGGGACACGAUGUUUUUACCCAGGUUUGGGCCCUCUUGAUGGAGGUAAAACCCUACAUCCUGCUUGAUUAAUAUUGAUGAUGUGGGUUACAAGAGUAGAUCUACCACGAGAUCAAGGAGGCUAAACCCUAGAAGCUAGCCUAUGGUAUGAUUGUUGUCUGUCCUAUGGACUAAAGCCAUCCGGUUUAUAUAGACACCGGAGAGGGCUAGGGUUACACAGAGUCGGUUACAAUGGUAGGAGAUCUACAUAUCCGUAUCGCCAAGCUUGCCUUCCACGCCAAGGAAAGUCCCAUCCAGACACGGGAUGAAGUCUUCAAUCUUGUAUCUUCAUAGUCUUGGAGUCCGGCCGAUGAUGGUAGUUCGGCUAUCCGGACACCCCCUAGUCCGGGACUCCCUCAGUAGCCCCUGAACCAGGCUUCAACGACGACGAGUCCGGCGCGCAUAUUGUCUUCGGUAUUGCAAGGCGGGUUCCUCCUCCGAAUAAUUUAUAGAAGAUUGUGAACACCAGGAUAGUGUCCAGCUCUGCAAAAAUAAAUUCCACAUACCACCGUAGAGAGAAUAAUAUUACACACGAUCAAUCUGCUGACGUAUUCUGUGGCGUAACAUCACACCACUUCCAAGCCUUUACUCGAAUUGUUUUUAUUGUUCCACCUCAGCGCGUUUAGCGAGGCAGUUUCCUUGGCACGUCUUGUCGAAGCAGAGAUCGUGUUCCCCUUAUUUCGGGAUUCCCAUUAAUAUGGACGUGGGUAACCCAACCGCGCCUGUUGCCACGCCCCCUCCAUUGAAGGCGGGUUCCAAACGGUCACGGGGACGGCUCUUGGUAUUCUUCCUCUUUAUAAAGAGACCAAGGCCCGUUCUUUUUAUUCAAUCCUCUACCGAAUCCGCCCCUCUCCCUGAGUUCCAACACCCAGGGAUCCGAAUUCAGGUACCUUCGAUCCUCGACAAUGUCCGGUCCUGAUCUACGAGGCCGGUGGAUGCCCUCCUCCGUCACGGAGGAGGACGUGCUAAAGCUGAGAGAUGCCAGGUAUUUAACCUACGAGAUUUUGCAUAGGCUGCCUGCCCGAGGGCAAGUUAUCCCAACUCCCGAGCCUGGUGAGAUCGUCGUGUUCACGUCACAAGGUAGUGAGACGUGAACACGACGAUCUCGCCAGGCUCGGGAGUUGGGAUAACUUGCCCUCGGGCAGGCAGCCUAUCAUGAAGGGAUCCGUCGGGAAGCAACUCGACCUGCAGAUGCGGACAUCUCGCUGGUCAAUAGAGGACUUGAUGAGUCACAAGUUAUGUGGUUGCCCCGCGGUUGGUUAGUAAGGGAGCUGACGCCCAUUCCUUACAAAUUGUAUGCUUAGAUGCAGAUGGUGCUGCUGCUGUGGAGGACCUUCGAGCAGAACUUGCUCGGGCCAAGGAGCAAGCCAGAAAGAGCGAGGCGGCUGCCUUGAAGGCAGCGGAAGGGUUAGAAGCCGAGAAGGCUGCUCACUGCCAAAGCAGGGAGGAGAUGGCUAGAAUGGCCAUGAAAUUAAGAGUUGCUACCGACCGCCUGGAAGUUCUUGAAGGAGAACGCCGAGCGGAGCGAGAGGACCUGAAGAAGGCCGAUGCCGAGGCCAAGGAUGCCCGUAGUGCGAUGCGGGCUAUGAAGGAGGAACUGCGUCAGGUCGGAGACAUUGUGGCUGGAAAGCCCUUUAUGCUGCGUAGGAAGUUCACGGAUCCGAAGUAUGCUCAGCUGGGCCGAUUGUACGGUGCGGAGGAUCCUUAUCUGGACUUGGCGGCGAGUGCGGCUGACGCAGUCGUGCACUUUCGAAGCCAGGAGGAUCAUGAAAUGGAAGAGCUUUUCUGGUCUCAAUUCCAUAGUCCGGAGCGUCCACUUCUGUUGAGUGAUCGGCUGGUUGAGUGGGCUGAGCUGAAUAGAUUGUCCGGACUGGCCAUGACGGAUGUGGUAACUCAUCUGUGGCCGAAAAGGCCCAAGCCGAAGAGUUAUUUUGGCUUGUUGCAGCAAUUCCUUGGGGCAGUGCCGCAUAUUAAGGCGGUGAAGCGGUCGGCAUGCAUAGAAGGUGCGCGGAUGGCUCUCGCCCGUGGUAAAACAUACUGGGCGGAGAUGGAUGCCACCGCUGUUGCAUCCCAGGGUUCGGACAAAUGCCGAUUCCCCACCGAGCAUUACUUUGAGAAAGUCCUGCAGGGCGCUCAUAUAAUAGAGUCGCAAUGCUCGAAAGAUGUUAUGUUUGAAUGACAUGUAUGAUUUCUAAGAUCAUGUUUAUAAUGCAAUGACUUUUUAUACUUGUGUGUUCAAGUAUUAAACUAUCUCCUGUGUGGCCGUAUAUGUAUGUUUCUGAAAGAUGGCAGUCUUUGGCUUCAGCCCCCACGCACAUGGUGCGGGGGUGUUUGCAAAAAGAAAAACGCUUUUUCACACUUAAUCCAACGUCUUGGUCCUUUUAAGGAGGUGAUAGCAUAGCAAACUAGGCAACCGGACUAUAAUGCUUUAUCCCUUUCACUUAGCCAUAGGAGCUCGAAUGUGGGGCUACUAUAUAGCCCCUGAUGGCACCGCGCUCCUCCGAACUUGGGGCGCGUAUGUGCCUGACCGGGAAGCGGUCCUUCGUCAAAGCGGAGGAAUUCUAAAUAUUCCAAUGGUCGAUCGAGUGGUUGACCAGUCUCUUGCUAUAUCAUGACAGUCAGUUUUCGGCUUUCUCUACUAAGGUGCUCUCCCGGCCGAACCGGGGCACAAUCGCAGUAGUUCUCCUGGUGCCGCGUUAGCCGAUGAUACGGAACGUAAGGCAGCAAAACACAGGAGCCGGGCAAACCCAACAUUUGACCAAAGACAUGAUUCGGAGCUGAUGCAUAUAAGGCCUAACUCGAGACGCCGAACACUCCCUGAGGUGUUCGGUCUUUAUGAUAUCGGGCAGAAUAAACGCCCUAAGCCCCUAGUGUCCAGGUACAGGCGGGAACUUCUGACGCGGCCGAUGCCAAAACGCCAGCCUCCUCCUCGGCUCUGGUAAGAAACCGGGGGAUGUUUAUCAACAAGAGACAGUGAGAAAGGUUUACGCAGGGUCUUAAUCUGAAAAGAAUCCUUGCAACGGGUCCCUACUGCACAUCCGCGCCUGUGUCUCCAUUGUGCUGUAUCCUGGACGGGUGUAGCACGUGCUUCAUCUGUAAAAGAGAAGGACUUAGUUUCUAAGAAAUAUCAUGCAAAAAGUGUAUCAAAAUAAAGUAUAAUUUGGAAGAUGAAGAAAGUUGAGCUUUAUUAGCUUUCAUCAUGUAUGCGCGCGGCCCCCUAAAAAAAGGGGUAUGCGGCUGGGAAGCCCCUUGUUAAGUUACGCCGGACUCGUCUAACCAUGUUCGAGGUCUAAAUGACCUGUUUUUAGGGGCUUUGACCUGCAAGGUCGGAAUAAUGUGUGGCUGUCUAGGCAGCCGCACAUUCUCCGUGGUUGAGAGACACCCGGAGUCUUAAGAAUAUGCCACGUGGACCGGGCAUUUUUAAGCGUAAGAGACGCGUAAUGUGGUAUUGCAUUAAAGCGGGCGAAAGCUGCAUGCCCCAGUAGUGCUUAAGGGCUACUGCUAAAUGGGGCGACGGAGGGUGAGCUUUUCGCGAUAGAGGUUGUCGGAUGAACCGAACAUGACCCCUAGUGGUACAGAGCCUGUAAAAUUGGCUAAAAAGGCCUGGCGUCACUCCUUUGAAGGAAGUGCUUGCUAUAGCAAAUUUUGGUGGGUUCUAUCCCCAGUCUGCGGAUGGUGUCCUGGUAUAGCAGGGGCCGCGCUGUGUGUUAUCACGUGAAGUGAGUUCACUGUUUUGACUUCUAAUGGGAAAGUCUUUUGGUUUCCGGAGCGCUGCUUUUGGGUUUCGUCACUUUCACUUGGUGUGUCGAGCCCUUUGUGUUUGGUGUUAAGUCGGCCGGACUGCUUGAAGACCCAACAAUCUCUGUGGGUAUGGUUUGCAGGCCUCCCGGAGGUACCGUGUAUUUGACACUGUCUAUCCAGAAUCUUGUUGAGGUUGAAUAGCUCGUCACUGUUAUCCUUUAAGGGCAGUGUUUUGUUGUUCGGCUGAGAGCUUUUGAAUCCGGCGUUGACCGCCGUACUAUUUGGGCCAUUCUCCUUGUUCCGGUGCUAAUCUUUUUUGCGUCGUGAUUUCCCAUUUCCAUCCCUGAGUUCGGAUGUACUGGGUCGCUGGUGCUGCAUCUAGCCAACCAGCUGUCUUCCCCUGCGCAAAAGCGGGUCAUGAGACUUGUUAGUGCGGCCAUUGUUCUUGGUUUUUCCUGGCCGAGGUGUCUGGCGAGCCAUUCGUCUCGGAUGUUGUGUUUGAAGGCUGCUAAGGCUUCAGCGUCCGGACAGUCGACUAUUUGGUUCUUUUUAGUGAGGAACCUGUUCCAGAAUUUGCGUGCUGAUUCUCCGGGCUGUUGAGUUAUGUGACUUAAAUCAUCUGCAUCCGGAGGCCGGACAUAAGUCCCCUGAAAAUUUGCUCACAACGCAUCCUCAAGCUCUUCCCAACUCCCAAUCGUAUUUUCUGGGAGGCUUUUAAGCCAAUGUCGGGCCGGCCCUUUGAGCUUGAGGGGAAGGUAUUUUAUGGCAUGGAGAUCGUCUCCUCUUGCCAUGUGUAUGUGUAGGAUAUAAUCCUCAAUCCAGACUCCGGGGUCUGUUGUUCCGUCGUAUGCCUCUAUGUUUAUGGGUUUAAAUCCCGCUGGAAAUCCAUGAUCCAGUACCUCGUCGGUAAAACAUAGUGGGUGUGCGGUGCCCCUGUAUUUGGGUGUGCCGUUGUCUUCAAAUGCUCGGCUGGUUGUGUUACUUCCUGGAGUCUUCUUUUUUGGCCAAUAGAUAGACCGGGCCGGGUUAUCCUUUUUCUGAAGAUCUUUAUGCUGAUCAUAUGCCGGCUUGUGUGUGGCGCCCCGUGUUGCUCUUGGCCUGUCAUCUGGUCGUCUAUCCGGCCAGACGGCCCCUUUCUUUUUUGACUGCGGGGGCUCGAAGGCCUCCUCGUCAAAUUCGGGCAACAGCUUGCGCUUCGGGUAGCUCUUUGUCUGGUGGUUAGUGCCAUAUUUAUCUGCGGUGUUGAGUACUUUGCUCCAUCUCAUUCUGAGUGUGUCUUCUGCUGUUUUGAGCUUCUGCUUUUGCUUCUUCAAACUUCUUGCAGUGGCGACAAGCCUGUUAUGGAGAUUCAUAUGCUCUGGUGAUGUGAGAUCAUCUUCGCCAGGGAUGGGUUGCUUGUCCGGUUCAUGUUCGGCUGGCUGCUUGUUGACAUGUGCGUCGUCCACUGCUUCGCCCUGCUCUAGGGCCGGGUCCAUAUGGGUACCGUUUUUGUCGAUGCCAGUCUUCGGGCGGCACUUGCGUCGCCGCUUUGUUUGUCUGUUGGGGGAGUUGUCCUUCGCCACGUCCCGUUUUUCCUCAUUGCCGCUUCCUUUUGGUUUGUCCACCAUGCAUACGUUGUGGGAUGGGGUGGCUUUCCUGUGCCCGUUAGGCGCUGGUUCUUGGUCGACCCCGGCAUCGUCGUCCAUACCGUCGAUGUCUUCGGAGUCAUAGCCUAGCAUGUCAGUUAAAUCGUCGACAGCGGCUACCAAGUGGGUGGUGGGUGGGCUUUGAAUUUCUUCGUCGUCCGCAUCCCAGCCGUCCUGACCACAAUUUGGCCAGGUCUCUCCUGAUAACGAGAGGUAUUUUAGCGAACUCAAGAUGUCGCCAAAAGGUGAGUGUUGAGGGACGUCCGCUGCGGUGAACUCCAUGAUCGGCGCCCAGUCGGAUUCGAUCGGGGUGGGCGCGGGAGGUCCGGAGUCCGGCGAGGAGUCCGGCACCUUGGAGUCACGAGCUUUAUGAGGGACGAAGUCAGUGUUCGGCUCUAUCGCCGUAGAGGUUGCAGCCCCCGAGGCGGUGUCUAGGCAUCCAUCCUCGAUCUGCGGAGCUGGCUCCGAAUUGAAGAUCGGAGUGGUUUUGAGUGCCGCCACCAGGGUACUGUCCGGCUGUAGAGCUAAAUCAUGCCCAUCGUGAUAGUACAGCACGCUCGGGUGUGGCUCGAAUCCGUCGAGGAUCAAAUCCCCGCGGAUGUCAGCCGUGAAGUUCAAACUUCCAAAUCUGACCUGACGGCCAGGGGCGUAGCCUUCGAUCUGCUCCAGCUGGCCAAGCGAAUUGGCCCGCAGUGCAAAGCCGCCGAAUACGAAGAUCUGUCCGGGGAGGGAGGUCUCACCCUGGACUGCAUCGUCGUUGAUGAUCAAAGAAGCCAUCGAGCCUAUCGGUGACGACACAGAGGAACUCUCAAUGAAAGCACCAAUGUUGGUGUCAAAACUGGCGGAUCUCGGGUAGGGGGUCCCGAACUGUGCGUCUAGGCGAAUGGUAACAGGAGAUGAGGGACACGAUGUUUUUACCCAGGUUCGGGCCCUCUUGAUGGAGGUAAAACCCUACGUCCUGCUUGAUUAAUAUUGAUGAUGUGGGUUACAAGAGUAGAUCUACCACGAGAUCAAGGAGGCUAAACCCUAGAAGCUAGCCUAUGGUAUGAUUGUUGUCUGUCCUUCGGACUAAAGCCAUCCGGUUUAUAUAGACACCGGAGAGGGCUAGGGUUACAUAGAGUCGGUUACAAUGGUAGGAGAUCUACAUAUCCGUAUCGCCAAGCUUGCCUUCCACGCCAAGGAAAGUCCCAUCCGGACAUGGGACGAAGUCUUCAAUCUUGUAUCUUCAUAGUCUUGGAGUCCGGCCGAUGAUGGUAGUUAGGCUAUCCGGACACCCCCUAGUCCGAGACUCCCUCACUGCUCCUGGUCCUCCCAAAUCCUCAUCUCCUACGAAGUCCUCAGCAGCUCCUCCAAAUUCCUCAGCACCUGUGCAUCUGGCCACGUGCCAAAGGACUGCAGGCAUCUCUAUUGCCUCCGGUGUCUCAGCAAGUUGCUCAGCUGCACCAAAUUCUUCAUCAGGCCCCACUCUACUUAAGAAAAAGGCAACUGCUGGAUGAGGUCCUUGGCCAAGUCCGAAGAAGAAACAGGUCGCCUUCCAACUGCCAUCUGAUGAUGAAGCUGAUGAUGACGAACUUGCGGAAAUCAUCAAAGACCGACAAGAAAGGGCCGCUAGAGCCAAAGGCACACCUGUGCCACUGCUUUUGGAUCCAAGGGCGAUCCUCGAGUACAUUGAUCUCUGGCACAAGGAUCCAGAGACACCUAUACCUGAUUUUCAUCUGACACCUGGACAAAGUCACAUGCUGACCCAUUUCAUCUCUGAAGAGAAAUGGAAAUAUGAGAAGGCCAGACAGAUCAAGAAAGCACAGUACAGGAAGGAGAAAUUCCUGAAGAACAACGUUGUCUCUAUGACAACUGAUGAACUUGUGAAGAUCCAGUCUGAAAUCAAAGCCCUAAGUGAUAACUUCAAUGCCUAUUAUGCCGAUUGGCAAGGAGCCAAAAUUCAGAUUUGUCAAUCUGACAAAGAAGUUCACAAAUGUUGCAGCCCCAACACAACAAGAAAUUCCUCAGGCUAGAGCCUCUGCUCAGGCUGCUGAAGAACAUGCCAGCACCGCUGAUGAUUUUCAGCCUGCUGAUGACAAUGCUACUUCUAGGGCUGAUGACUCCAGUCCAGCCGCUGAAGAAAUUGCCAGGGCAUCCACUAGUGGUGCGCCUGAAGAAACUGAAGAAGUCAGGGAAACUGCAUCAGUUGCGCCGGAGGAAAUUCAACCAGAUUCCUCAGCUCCUCCCGCGCCUACACCAACUCCAAUCCUUCCAUCUGCAUCUGAUGUGAAGAAGACCAAGGCUGCAGAGCGAGCUGCAGUGAAGAAAAUGAAAGCAUCAGUUGCUUCAAAUUCUUCAGCCCCGAAGAAAAUGAAGCCUAUGACAAGCUCUUUUGAAAAUCCAAUCGAUGCUGUUCCAAUUUCCUCCAUUCCAUCAAAGGACCUUGUUCCUUUUGGUGAAGAGUAUGAGAUCCCAAGCGGAUGUGAUGAAGAAAAUCAUUCUGCUGCUUCAUCAGAGCAGAUUGAUGAAGAAAUUGAAGUGGAUGCAAUCCCUUCAACACCAAUCAUUUCCUCGCCUAUGCCUCAGUUCACAGCUGAAGAGGCUGGUGUUGAGGAAAUUGAAGACGAAGACGUGGAUAUUGGAUGCACCACACCUGUGAUGAACGAUGACCUUUGGGAAAGUCAGCAUCCCAAUUCUCCACUCUUCACCCCAAUCCAACAAAUCCCUCAAUCCCCUGCACCAACGGUUCAAAUGGGCUCUGAAGAAACUCAUCCCAACUCAUCCGUGCAUGAAGAAAUUCCAGCCACUAGCGCUGAAGAACCUGCUGCUGCUGAUCCUAUGAACAUGCAGACUGCAUAUGAAGAGGAACCAGAAAAUCCUCAGCCUGAAGAACCUGAGAUUGCGAUUCCAGAGGUAGUGAUGCAACUCAAUGAGACUCCACUGCCAAAGCCAAAGAAUCCAUUCUCAACGAAGCAAAAGUUCAAGGCUGAAGAUUUCUUUGGCGAGCAUGCAUUCUUCACUGACUACAAUCCUUAUGACUGUGCUCGCAUAAGGAAGAGGCGUUUCUGGACUGCUAGUUAAGCCAACUUCUAUUCCUCUGUGCUAUUCAACAAAGACAAAGUCUUCGAUCAUGCACAUAUUCCUCAUGUGGACAUGGAAUCUCUGCCAGGCUUCGAGCAGUCCUCAGUGUUCUUCACGAUGCAGGAUUGCUGAAUUUCCGUACUCACAUCUGUGAUUGGAAUGAAGAACUCAUUCUUCAAUUCUAUGCGACGCUGCACAUCACCGGAGAUUCUAAAGAUGUGAACUCAUGGGUAUUGGACUGGAUGAUAGAAAAUACUCACUACAAGGCACCAGCAACUGAAUUGCUUCGUGCCCUCCCACUCAGUCCUCCCCUUGAUGGUGCUCGUUGCAUCUACAACGAACCGGAGCUUUCAAAUCAUUACAUGCAAGUGCUGAUGAAGCCUUUGAAGCCAGGGCAGGCACCUCGAACCAAAUUCUUUGUCAAGGAAUUACUGUAUGUGCCUCGGACUAUCUAUCGCAUUCUGACGAAGACAAUGAGUCCUAUCAAAGGUCACAACUCAAAUGAUGAAGAAGUCAUUGGCAUCAUGAAGAAUAUGCUUUUCAAUAUCAUUCAUGGCGUUCCCGUCAACUUCCAUGAUUUCUUCAUGAGUACUCUGGCAAACAUUGCUAUGUCACCUUUUGAGAUGAAGCCUUAUGCACCAUGGAUUAUGAGGUUCAUCAGGACAAGGUCUUCACUCAAUUACAAGGCUGACACUCUGAACAACUACAGCUACUUGCCUCCAAUUGAAGUCCUCAAAUGGACAUUUUCCUCAGCUGAUGACAAGGGCAAGGCAACUACUGUGAUAGAUGAAGGCAUUCGUCCAUUGGAUGGUCAAUUUCGCAAAGCUGCAUCCUACUCCACCAAUGAUGACUCUGCCACACAUGACUCUGCCGCCAAUACCUCAGCCAAGCAAAAUCCUCAAGCCACAGCACCCAGGGUGAUGACUGAUAGUUAGUUACUCCUCAGUCUUCAUCAGAAGGUUGAUGGCAAUCAUAAAUGGGUCAAGCGUCAGUUUGGUUCAAUUCUUCACAACAUGACCUCAACACACAAUGCAGUGAAGAAAAACCAAUACUACCUCCAUGAAACCUUCAACCGCACCUGGGAUGUUCUUUCUAAUGUGUACAGCGCAGAAGAACUGAAGAAAAUGGGUCUCAAGGAAGAAUUAGACUAGUCUGUACCUCCACUGAAGAAAUUCAACAAGGUCAAGGUUCCUUCCUUGGUAGCCAGCUCCUAUUCUUCAUCGCGCAACACUGAUGAAAAUGAAGACUUGGACGACACUGCGGGAGGCCCUACUACGACAACCGACCCCGACAACGCUGGCGCUCCUUCAUCAACUUGAAAUUCUUGAGGGGCGUUAGUCCUUAGUUUCAAUCCUUUUGGUCAUUUGAUGACAAAGGGGGAGAAAUGUGAGUUAGUCUUCAAGCGGGUCUACUCUACAAUAUGGGCGUUUUUUUUCUAAGUUACAACUCUCGUUCUUCUAAAACAUUAUUCCUCUGCAUGCUUAUUCCUCAUUAUAUGUUAAUACACGCAUGCUGAACUACAUCAGUCACCAUAUUUCAUCAUGCAUUUCAAAUUCUUCAUAUUAUAUGUCAAAUGCGUGUAUGAAUUACAAGAUAUAGGGGGAGAUCUCCAUGAUUCAACUCUUCAAAUGUGCAAUGCCUCAAAAGCAAAAUUCCUCACUAUGCACAUCUUCAGGGGGAGUUCUUCUAUAUCUUGCAAUCAAAUUCCGCAAUAUCAGUAUUUACACUUCAUAUGUUUAUCCCCGUUGAAAACUUAACCUAUAUUGUCAUCAAUCACCAAAAAGGGGGAGAUUGUAAGUGCAUCUAGUGCCCCUUAGUGAUUUUGGUGUAUCGAAGACUUAUAGGUUAAGGGACUAAUGUGUUUAUGAGUGUCCACAGGUCUAUAAGUCUAUGAGGAGUUUGAUAUUUACAGAGAAAGUCGACCCCUAAAAAUGAAGUUCUUUGACUGAAGACUUUGAUAUUUUGAAGACUUUCUGAAGACUUUGAAAGUGAAGAAAUUGGUGUGACCUUGAAGACUUGGUAUUCAUUUGAGGAACAUGAAGCAUGAAGACUUUUGUUUUUGUAGUUUCGUUUUCUCUUUCUUGAGUCAUAGGAAACACCGUACUGUUAAAGGAGGUCAAGGAAAUACUAAGGAAAAAUUUCCAUGUGAUGCUCAACUCAAAAUCCUACACCUACCAAUCCCUUCAAGUGAAGCCUUUGGAAAUCUCAUACAGUUCAGUCAAUUUCUUCAGUGAUAGAGAUGAAGUUCUUCUAGUCUCUAAGGAAUUUGUUCUGACUGAGGAGUUAGGAAUUCACCAGUGCGGAUUGCCUACACAGUGAGGAACAUGAUAGCCCUGAGGAAUUUGAGAGUCAAAUUUCCGACCGUUGCUGUGCUGCGCGCCAGCUGUCCCAAAAUAUCUUAUCCACCUAACGGUCAUAUCAUUGAAGGGCAUUUAUGUCUUAUCAUGUUGGGCUGCUCCCUAGGCUAUAAAUAGCCGCCCCCUACAACCACUAGCUGGUUGGCUGCUUCGAGAGAACCUGCCACUUGUCAUUUGAGAGCAACCCAUCCUCCGAGGACUUUGAGUGAAAAUCAUCGAGUGAGGAAAAACCCAAAAACCAAACCCCUACAAACCCAAAGUGAUUGAGCAUCACUAAAGAGAUUGAUCCUGCGUGGAUCCGACACUUGUUACCUUUGAAGACUGUGCUUCUUCCAGACGGUUAGGCGUCAUGGUCUAGAGCAUCCAAGAGGAAUUGUGGAUCGCCGAGUGAACAAGUCUGUGAAGGUUUGGAAGUCGCCUGAAGACUUACCACGAGUGAUUGGAGGAGGUCUGUGUGACCUUAAUUCAAGGAGAAUACGGUGAGGACUUGGUGUCCUGAGCUGCAUUCUCAGCGACUGGGUGUCCGGGACUGUGUGUCCUCGAGUUUAAAUACUCAACCGCUCCAACCAGAUGUACAACUGAGACAACAGUUGGAACUGGUCUACCAAAUCAUUGUCUUCACCAACCUUCCUGGUUCUAUUCCCUCAACUCUUUCAUUUCCUCAUUACUGUAUUGAGUGAUUGUUCGUAUCUGUGUUUGAAGACUUUGACUGAAGACUUUCUCAAUUUCCUCAGUUCAAUUUCUUCAGUCUACUUGUCUUCAUCUUGUGUUAUCCUGUGACUACGCUUUCCGUACUCUGUGUUUGUCUUCAUUUCAUCAUGAUGACUAAGCCUGCAUUCCGUUAUGCUUACUUCUGAGUACUUAUUCCGCUGCAAGUAGUUCUUUGCUAAGGAAUUUCCUCACCGGCAAAUUCCUCUGUGAAGAAUUCUUAAAAAUCGCCUAUUCACGCCCCUCUAAUCGAUAUAACGCACUUUCAUAGGCGAAAAUAAUCAUGGCAACACACAGACUGUUGUAACCAUGGGCCUCCUGCAGGCCGUAUGAUCCAUGGGCCUUCAUUCGGCCGUAGGACCAUUGGCCUUCUAUACAGGCCGUAGGAUCCAUAGGCCUUCUAUACGGGCCUUAGGGAUCAAUGGGCCUUCUACGGGUCGUAGGGUCCAUGGGCCUUCUACGGGCCGUACCAUCCAUGGGCCUCAUACGGGCCGUAGGAUCCAUGGGCCUUCUACGGGGCGUAUCAUCAUUUCACCAUUCAUGGGCCGUACUAUUCUUGGACCAUAACGAGCCGUUAAUAGGCCGUAUUUGAUAACUCUAUGAAAACAGCCCAACGGGUUUUUUUGACAUGAAAACGGCCCAACGUAUUAAUGGUCCGCAAACGGGCCGACUAUAACGACGGGCUGAAUUUGGCCCACAAGCAGAAAAUGACAGUAACGGGCCGUUUGUAACCGAAUGCUGCAAAUGAGCCCAAGAAUCAAUGGGCCCUGAGAAGGCCGAAAGAUAACUUGGGCUGGAAACGGCCCAAUGGAAUAACGGGCCGUUAAUGGGUAUAAAGUGAUACACUGUUCAUUACGGGCCAGUUUCACAACGGGCCAUUAAUGGGCAAAGAGUUACAAAGGUCCUCAUAUGGUCCGAAAGAAGUCAUGGGCCAGACAUGGGCCGGAAGUUAAAACGGGUGAAUCAUAUUGGACGGCCCAGAUGAUGCUACUGGGCCUAAUUCAGAUAGGGUGUAACGGGCCCGCGGUUAGCGGGCUGUAAAUGGGCUAUAUGCGAACAGGCCGUUAACAGGCUUUCCGUGGGCCGUCCCGCCACCUUUUGACCAAGUCAAACGGGCCGGCCUUUUCACACGAAUGGGCCUCUGUUGGGCCGUGCCACGUGUCGACAUAUCAUAGGCGCCUUCUGUCCAAUGAGUGGAUGAUAUCUGUCCCAACGGUGAGCCGACACGUGUUUCCUCCAGCCAAUGAUGAUUUUACACGUGGAAAAUCCCAAUUGGUCGGGGCUGUUAAUGGGUUAUCGGAUCCAAAACCCGACCCGAUAGCUUAACGGCGUUCCGUUACGGUGGAUGCCACGUGUUGGUCACCCUUGACGAAAGCAGUUCUGUGACGCGCGAUUUAUCGUCAUGGAAGUGGACACUUCCGUGAUGAUAAUUUUGGUAAUGUCAUGGAAAACUUCUACGACAGCACAGGUAUGACUAUCUUGAUUCUAUCAUAAAUUUGUCAUGGAUGUACAUGCAUGACAAAAAACGCAAACUACUGUGACAAACACGUAUCAUCACGGAAGUGUAUUUUUUUUGUAGUGUCACCACCUGAACUUUGCCCUCUGGCCGACCUAAGUCCAAAGUUCAUGUCUAGUUUGAUGUUCGUGGUAGUUUUGAAGGUUACCACGCUUGGGUUUGGUCUCAGGUGUAGUACAAAUGAUUUCACGUGCCAGGUAAGUUUCUAGACAGUAACUUUGAGAGCUUACUGUGGCCAAACUACUGGGAGUUGGGGGUUGGGCUUUGGAGGCUAGCAAUCAUCUACUAAGGUGAUGAUGCACAAGAAAAACCAACCACAAUUGAGCAAAUAAAAUGGUAGUUUAUGUAGAAACUACCAUUUCUGUCCAGAACAGAAAAUAUUUUCUGUAGCAAAAAUAUUCCAAAAAGUGAUGAAAUAUUUUUGCUCAGAAAGGUGCCCUAGGGUUCAAAGAAUAAUUAGGAUUUUUCUCUGAUUUUUAUGGGCAAGAAAAAUUGGGGUUGCUUUGGAGCACAUUGCUCUAGCUAGGGUUUAAGAGAUGGAAAUGAAUAUUUUUCAUUAAGAAAAAUAUUCCAAAUAUUAUUUUGGUGUGAACCAAAGAGGGAAUGAUGGUUAGAGAGGGAAAUGGGGCACUUGGGUGGAAGCCAAGGGGUACCCAAGUGGUUAAGUCCAUAUGAAAAGAUUCAAAACUCCAAGUUUCAAAUUCGAAACAACUGAAAAUCAGGCAAAGAAGAGAGGGUAAAAACUAGGCUGUCACAAACCUCCCCCACUUAGAAUGAAUCUCGUCCUCGAGAUUCGGUUGCUUGGGAAAACCAUUCUGGGUAAUGUGCCUUUAGAAAUUCUUCCCGUUCCCAAGUUGAUUCUAACUUCGUAUGAUGCUCCCACUGGACUUUGUACAAUUUCCUUGCUUUACUACGAGUGACCCUUUCCAUCUGAUCCAAGAUUCUAACCGUCCUCUCUUCGUAUGUUAAAUCCUUUGCCAGCUCUAUUUCAGUCAUAUCAGUCUUUUUCUCAGGCGGCGAUAUGCAUCGCCUCAAUUGUGAAACAUGAAACACGUUGUGCAUGUCCGACAAUUCAGGGGGUAGUUCCAACUGAUAUGCAACAGUACCCACUCAUGAUGGGAAAUGGACCAAUAAAUCUAGGUGCCAGCUUUACAUGAGUCUGGAAUCUCUUGAUUCCUUUCAUAGGCAUGACUCGGAGGUAUACGUGUUCUCCGGGUUUAAAACUGAUCUAUCGGUGAUUUGCAUCAUAAUAACUCUUCUGUCGAGAUUUGGCCAACUGCAAUCUGUCUCUGAUUUCCAUGACUUGUUUCUCAGCUUCCAUCAUGAGAUCCGUUCCGAAAAUACGGCUAUCCGGUUUGAGACCAAUUUAAAGGGGUGCGGCACUUACGGCCAUACAAAGCCUCAUAUGGUGACAUCUUUAGACUAGUCUGGAAGCUAUUAUUGUAAGAGAACUCAGCAUACGGCAAGCAGCCUUCCCAUUUAGGUCCUUGGGCCAAAGCACAGGCUCACAACAUGUCUUCGAGUAUUUGGUUUACCCGCCCCGUUUGUCCAUCAGUCUGAGGAUGAUAAGCGGUACUGUAUUUCAGCGCUGUCCCCAAGGCUUGAUGGAGAAGGGAACAAAAAGCGGAUGUAAAAAGUAAACCUCGGUUAGAAGUGAUGGUUUGGGGUACUCCAUGCAGGCUGACUAUUCUGGAUACAUAGAGCUGUGCAAGU